rnacentral:lncRNA from 1 species
UCUUCUUCCAAGCGGGAUCUCAGGCAAGAUGAUCAUUUCCCCAGAUACCAUUACUAUCAUUGCCAUGCUAGUUUUACCGUUGCUAUCGUUUACGUCUCGUUGCCUACCACCUGUUAAAUAUCAGCCUCUCUACAAUGCCAUGAAGCCAUCAACCUGUCCGAUCUAGCAAACCACUGAUUGGCUAAGUUACUGCUUGCUUAACCCUGUUGAUAGCGUUCCUAGUUGCAGGUGCAUUUGCUUCCAUGUGACAACAUGGGUUCCUUGUUAUAUCACCAUAUUUAAAUGAUAUUUAAUUUAAUGCACCUAUACACUUGUUAAAGGUGGAAGGCUCGGCCUUUCUAGCCUGGUGUUUUGUUCCACCUUUGCCCCCUUAGUUUCGGCUACCGGUGUUAUGUUCCAUAAAUGAGCGCUCCUAACACGAUCGGGGUUGUUAUGGGGACCCCCUUGAUAAUUCGUUUUAGAUUAAAGCUGGUCUGGCAAGGCCCAACAUUGGUACUACAUUUGCCUAAACACCUAAUAAAAUUGCAUAGGGACUUUCCGGACCCCGAGGAUAAUUUAAUCAACCCCCGGGCCAGUACUCCUCAUGAGUGUUGGUCCCACCUGAGCGUUGUCCGGCGCCCCUCUGGUCACCCGGAGGUUUAGCGAUCCCGACGUCUAGCUCAUCCGCCGUGUCCUGAGAAUGAGGUACGCGACUCCUAUCAGGAUCGUCGACACGUCGGGCAGCCUUGCUGGAUUAGUUUUACCUUUGACGAGAUAUCUUGUGCAUCGGGAUUUCGAUGAUGCUUUGGGUAAUCNNNNNNNNNNNNNNNNNNNNNNNNNNNNNNNNNNNNNNNNNNNNNNNNNNNNNNNNNNNNNNNNNNNNNNNNNNNNNNNNNNNNNNNNNNNNNNNNNNNNCGUUCGACUACCUCGGCUCGUCUGCUUCACGGAGGCAUACUUCUUCCAAGCGGGAUCUCAGGCAAGAUGAUUAUUUCCCCAGAUACCAUUACUAUCAUUGCCAUGCUAGUUAUUUCGAUGCUAUCGCUUAUGUCUCGUUGCCUACCACAUGUUAAAUCUCAGCCUCUCAACAAUGCCAUGAAACCUUCAACAUGUUCAACCUAGCAAACCACUGAUUGGCUAUGUUACUGCUUGCUUAACCCUGUUGAUAGCGUUGCUAGUUGCAGGUGCAGUUGCUUCCAUGUGAAACAUGGGUUCCUUGUCAUAUCACCAUAUUAAAUGUUAUUUAAUUUAACGGACCUAUAUACUUGGUAAAAGGUGGAAGGCUCGGCCUUUCUAGCCUGGUGUUUUGUUCCACCUUUGCCCCCUUUAGUUACCGGCUACCGGUGUUAUGUUCCAUAAAUGAGCGCUCCUAACACGAUCGGGGUUGUUAUGGGGACCCCCUUGAUAAUUCGUUUUAGAUUAAAUCUGGNNNNNNNNNNNNNNNNNNNNNNNNNNNNNNNNNNNNNNNNNNNNNNNNNNNNNNNNNNNNNNNNNNNNNNNNNNNNNNNNNNNNNNNNNNNNNNNNNNNNGCGCUUCUAUCCCUGACAAGGCCCUCGUGCCAAAUUGAGGAUAGGGUCGCAUCUUGGGCGUGACAAGUUGGUAUCAGAGCCUGUACCGACCUAGGAGCCCCCUUGAUUGAUCGAACUUGGACGAGUCGAGUCUAGUGAAAAACUAUUUGAGUGUUAGUUAUAUAUCGGAGAGUAGGAUUCUUUUUCUCCUCUUCUAUGCUCUGGUGAGGAAUCCUGACGUAAUAAUUUAUUCUACUCCUCUUCUCACUCAAAAAAAAUUUAGGAUCACGCGGAUAUUUUUGAAAUCUAUAUGAUGUCGAUGUGACGGAGUUCUGUCUUGGUGCCUCCUGUCUGACUUGAUUUUCUUCCGGGGAGUUGAGCUCCAGGGGAUUCUUGAGCACAUCGUUAUCAUUCAGAUUUCUUGGUAUCUAAGAACGAAGGAUGUUCGUAAUUGCUUCAAUACUAGUAGUGGCGAGAUAACCCUGAUGUCCCCAGUACUGGUGCAGAUUGUUCGGGAGUACUGCCAUACUUUGUAUCGUUUUGAUCACGAGGGUCUGUUGUAGAUGAAGGUCCGAGAUUCUGGUCGUGUGUUGACGGAUGUGAUACAGGUGACGGGUUAGUAUAGGAGUUGUGUGUUAUUACUCCUUGUAUCCGUGUACCAGAUUGCAUGACCAGAUAUUUCGGGAAUUCAUAGGUGGGAAUUCUAGUAGUUUCUUACAGGACAAUCUUCCAACAAAUGCAUGAUGUUAGGUUGGGGUUCGACAUCUAGUGGAUUCGUUUGUUCACGGUCGACUUACAGCGGUACACGUUGUGUCUUAAAGAGUCCUUGUAGCUUGCUACGACUCGGGAACGCUUCGUAUGUCGGGUGCACUGCCUUGCACUUGAUGGCUACUGUAAGGUUCGAGCCCGUGCGAUCCUGUCCACGAAAAUAUCGGACGAAAUCUUUCUCAUGAGUUUGUUCUNNNNNNNNNNNNNNNNNNNNNNNNNNNNNNNNNNNNNNNNNNNNNNNNNNNNNNNNNNNNNNNNNNNNNNNNNNNNNNNNNNNNNNNNNNNNNNNNNNNNCCCCCCCAUUUGUCUAUAAAUAGACCCCCAGGUAUUUUUAGAUAACUCCCUCUCCCCUCUCCUCGAAAUCCAUGCCUAACCCUAAUCCCCACCUACCGGACAUGUCAUGGUCAAAUCGGACAUGUACGGGCGACCGCACGAGGGAGCUCGCUUCGCGUGUCUUGAUGAUGUAGUCGUCAAUCUAGGCCUAUGCAUUCCUUCCCAUCUGAGGCCCCAGACCCUUGUGCAUCAUCCUCUGAAAGGUGGCUCCUCCACUCUUCAAGCUGAAGGGCGGGCAGAUAUAGCAGUAUAAUCCAUAGGGCAUGAGGAAGGUGUAUUCUCUUCAUCCUGCUUGGCCAUGUUGAUUUGGCGGUAGCGUGAAAAGGCGUCCAGGAAGCACAGUAGAUCACACCAGCGAUGGAGUGCAUGAUCUGGUCGAUGCGCGGCAAUGGUAAAUGGUCCUUGGGGCAGACCUUGUUGAGGUUAGUGAAGUCAAUUCACAUCCACCCCUCCCAGCUAUGCUUGUGGACCACGACGCGGUUUGCAACCCACUCAGGGUGGAGUACCUCACGGAUGAAGCCUGACUCCUGAAGCUUCUUGGUCUCUUGAACAAAAAACUUCUAUUUAUCUAUCACCUAGCGUUGUGCAUUUUUCUUCACGGGUCGUGCAUUGGGACACACACCUAGGAGGUGCUCGAUCACCUCCCUCGGCACACCAGGCAUGUUUGAUGGUGUCCAGGCGAACAUAUCAGCAUUUUCCUCAAGGAAGGUGACUAGCCUGCACUCCUAUUUGGCCGACAUGCCAUUGUCGAUAGUAAUGGUGGGACCAAAGCCACUGUCAUCCAGUGACACUUUAUUCGUCUUGCCGUGUGCUUGAGAGAACAUUGUCUUCUUCUUUACAGGUACAGGCUUGGCACGCUCGACGUCAUCCUCAUCAGCAGGGUGGACCGUGGCAGCAACCUUGUAGGCGUGCUCGAGGGUGCGCACUACGCCCUUCUCAUUGCAGUGGAUGGUGAUGGUACCACUACAUCCCGAAAGCUUAACGGUGUUGUAGGCAUGAUCUGUCACUGCCAUGAACUUGGCGAGAGCAGGGUAGCGCAAGAUGGUGUUGUAGGGUGGGCCAAUGUGCACUACGUCAAAGUCAAUGAGCUCGGUGCGGUAUUUCUUGUGGCUGCCGAAGGUGACAUGAAGACGCACUUUCCCAGAGGCAGGGUGCAAACAUCGAUCACGCCCGAGAAGGGCCUCGUUAGCAUGAGGCGCUCGUAGGGCACUUGAAGCACCUCGAAGGUGUCCACAUAGAGCAUGUUGAGGCCUGCACCACCAUCGAUGAGCGUCUUGGUGAUGACAAAGUUGUUGAUGAUGGGUGUGCACAGCAGAGGGAUCAUGUCCACAGCCUUGGUGGACUUAGGAUGAUCGCUGGAGUGGGAGGACAUCGGGAACUGCGACCACUUGAGGGGUUUGGAGGCCUCUACUCAUGGGAGGGCAACAUUAACAUCGCGAGAGAAUUUCUUGAAGUGGCGGUUGGAUGCAUGAGCCUAGGCUCCGCCAAGGAUGCAUGCGAGCUCGCGGAACUCCUAGUAGCCCCCAACGUCUUUGCCAAGCAAGUUCUUCCUAAUCGCACAUGACGGGGAAGCUUUGCCUUGAGGAGGACUGGCCUAAUGAGGCUGGUUCCGCCAACCGUGCAAGUAGUGGUUGUUGUUGCCGUUGCGGUCGUUAUUUUUGCGGCCAUUACAGCGGCCACCGCUGCGGCUAUUGCUGCACGCUGCACCAUGAUUGUUGCGGUUGUUGCGGCUGACCUGGCGGUCUUGCCGAACCAUGUUGAGCUCAUGGCGGUCCUCAGUGUGAUGGAUGUUCACGAUGUGGAAGGCGUAGAGGGGAUAACCGUCUUUCCUGUGCCCGGGUUCAUCGCGAUCACGCUCGCGCUUUUUCUCAGGCUCCACUUCAAGUCCGGCGGGGCUCUAGCACUUGGUGUCCUUGGCCUUGGGUGUGGUGGCGUCUAGCACCGCAUUAGGGUCGUUGUGGGUGAAGAGGCGGCCAUCUUCCGCCUUGCCUCACCUAUUGGCAACGUCGAACAACGCGGUCACUGUGUCGAGCUCAUCAUUGAUGAAGAUCUUCUCGAGCAUCCUGACGUCUGUGACACCUUUGGAGAAUGCUGAGAUUAUUGGGGCAUCGGAGGCAUGCGGGAUCUUGUUGUGAACUUGGUUGAAGCGCUGGAUGUACUUGCACAGGGUUUCUCUAGGGCGUUGGCGCAUGGCGUGUGACUUUUUGAGCGUAAGGGGGUGCUCGUAUGUGCCCUUGAAGUUGGCGACAAACUGCUUGCACAGCUCGUACCACGAGAUGGAGUUCUCGGGGAGGUUCAUCGGCCAUGAGCGCGCGUUUUCCUUAAGGGACAUGGGAAGCCAGAUAGCCAAGCCCUUGUCGUCGCUGCCCGCAGCUUGGAUGACCCUCGCGAAGAUCUGUGUGAACUCUGUGGGAUUGGGGGUGCCGUCAUUGCGAGGAGGCAGCUUGGGCUCCAAUUGAAGGGCCACACCACACGGCGCAGCUCACAGGUGAAGGCGAGGCAAUCACCGUUGAUGGUGGCAACGCCACCGGCAAGAGCGCCCUGGUUCUUGCGCAUGGCUGCUGUGAUGCCCUAGAAGAUGCGGUUCUAGCGGUCAUGCUGCCUUUCGAGUAGGAUGCGCAUCUGGUUGCACGCGCUGGACGAUCUAUCAACUGGUGCCAGCAUGGUUGGGCGAGGAUGCGCCCUGGGAUGGCUUUGGCCCACGUGCGGGGCGGUGAGGCUCCGUGUCGUCAUCGCCCAGAGGAGGUGGAGGAGGAGCAUCGUGUUCAGCCUAUGCUCGUGCAACGAAGGAAGAAAGAUAGGGUGAGAGGGUGUCGGGGCAUCCCGAUGGUGUUGACGAGCUCGGUGGUGCGCGUGAGCCAAGCUUCAUAGUCGGUUGGGUUCGGGCGAUAGCGCAACAGCUCCUACAUCAUGAGCAGCGCAGUCCGCGAUGCUGGAGGCUCACGACGAGCAAGCAAAGACACGAUGCCAGUGUGCUUGGGCGGAUGCUACUAAGCGUAGUGUGAAAAAAUCCCAAACACCCAAAUAAAAACCCAAAAACCCAAAGUGAUUGAGCAUCACUGAAAAGAUUGUUCCCGUGUGGAACCGACGCUUGUUACCUUUGAAGACUGUGCAUCUUUGAGACGGUUAGGUGUCACUGGUCUAGAGCAUCCAGUAGUAAAACUGUGGAUUGUCGGGUGACCGAGUUUUUGAGGGUUUGGAAGUCUGCCCUGAAGACUUACCACGAGUGUUGGACGAGGACUGUGUCCCUAGCUCAAGGAGAAUACGGUAAGGACUUAAUGUCAUGGGACUAUGUGUCCUUUGGUUUAAAUACCAAGCCGCUCCAAACGAGACGUACGACUCUCGUAACAGUUGGUACUCGGUCAUGAAAUCACUCUCUUUUCCUCAACCCUUCUAAUUCCUCAUUUAUGUGUUGAUGAAAUUGAUCGUUACUGUUUGAAGAAUUUGACUGAAGACUUUCUAUAUUUCCUCAUCUCAAAUUCUUCACUUCACUUGUUCUUCACCCGUGUGUCCUCUGUUAGAGUUAUAAUAUAAGUGAUGUACCCAUUUAUAUUUAUCCUGUUGUAUAAGGGGUUUCCUACAUAUGUUCCACACCUGUACAUGUAUAUAUAUCGGCCUAUGGCCUCACGGGAAUACAAGUUGCUUAUUCCUAACAUGGUAUUAGAGCCUAGGUUCUUUUUGCACGCGCAAUUCGUGCUCUUCCCGAUCUAAUCUUCCCCACCUCUGGUGCCGGCCCUCGUCCCGCUCGCCUCGUCGUGGGGUUCCAGCUACAUCGCGUCAACCUCCAGAUCGGCACCGACCCUCGUCCCGCUCGCCUCGUCCCACACGUGGAGGAGUUCCAGCCACGUCGCUCCAAUCUCGCCAGAUCGAGUUCACCUGGGGCGGCGCCCGGUUCCGCAUCGAGGUCGCGUCGCUCCAGGUCGACUUCACUGGACGCUUCACCUGGUUCCGCAUCGAGGUCUUCUGGAUCCAGCUCGCGUCAGCCAGAUCGAGGCGGCUCCAUCACAUCUUGCAUUAGCCACUCAUCCCUGCUCGUCUUGAUCUACUCGUCAGCUCAACUUCCACAUCGAUCCACGAGAGAUCCAGCACCCUACUCGUGGGAUCCAUAUCGCGGUGGCUCCAGGUCAAGGCGGCUCCCAUCUCGCCAGAUCGAGGCACCUCCAAUCCUGCUGUCGACGCGCACGCCGUUUCAGACGCGGACGCUGUUUGUCGACAGCGAUUCCUAAAAAAUGGUCUACACGAGCAUGCAAUGUUGCAGCCCCUUGCUUCCCGUGACUCCUGACGGCUAUGCUGGUAGUUCUUCUGUUGCUCCUGCGAGCUCUACAUAUGGUGAUUGUCGCUCUACACCGACUCCUCUCGCGACUUUCACCGGUGCAUGUCGCUCUUCCCCGACACCUCUCACGACUUCCACCGGUUGUCCUCGUGCCUAUGCCUCCAUGGACUACUCUUCGUCCACACGUCUUCCCUUGGCGCUUGGUGCUUGUCUGCACACGGCCUCGUCUUCUACACCGGUCUUUGUAGACGAUACUGGACAUGCUACACCGCCAUAUUUAGCGGCUUCCACAGGUGGUGGUGGUCGCUUCUCUCCUCGUGCCCUUACGCUGCCUACUUCAGUUGUGUACUUCACCGAGGACGAGAUUGCGCGACUUCGCGCCCUGCUGCUUGCCUUCGACUCUCCGUUGUCGGGUGUGUCUACAUCAACAUAUUCAGUUGCGCUCUUGACUAAGCAGGAGUGGACGAUUUCGAUGUCUGCUAGCUCCAUGUUUUGUUUCUUCGUCGACACGUUCUGUUGGUUCUGCCACGGACUCUUCUGGCAUUGAGAGACGACCUUCUACACACGCACGUACAUCUCCAUGGGUUCUUGAUACUGGAGCAUCUUUUCAUAUGACUCAUGAUUCAUCCGCUCUGUCAUCUACUCGACCUCUUGAUUCUCCUGUUCAUGUUCUUACUGCUGAUGGUACUUCUCUCCCGGUUACUGGCCAAGGCUAUCUUAGCACUUCAUCUUUUCAUGUUCCCGAUGUUUCUCAUGUUCCUCGGCUUACCAUGCAGCUCCUUUCUGGUGGCCAGAUUGUUGACUCUACUUGUCGGGUCAUUCUUGACUUUGACUCAUGUUCAGUUCUGGACCGUCACACUGGUGCUCUUCUUGGUGCUAGCCCACGGCGCCGUGACUCUCAGGGUCUCUGGGAGCUUGACUGGCUUCACCUUCCAUUCGCUGCCACUGCAGCCAGUAUCUCCUCCUCUGUUGCCUUGUCUACCAGCUCUUUUCAACAGUGGCAUCAUCGUCUGGGUCAUUUAUGUGGCUCCCGUCUCUCAUCCUUAGUUUGACGUGGUCUUCUUGGAUCCGUCUCAGGUGGUGUGUCUUUAGAAUGUCAGGGCUGCCGGCUUGGUAAACAGGUUCAGUUACCUUAUCCUCAUAGCGAGACUGUGUCUCAGCGUUCUUUUGACCUUCUUCACCCGGAUGUUUGGGGUCCAGCUCCCUUUUCCUCGAAGGGAGGCCAUUGCUACUAUAUUAUCUUUAUAGAUGAUUUCUCUCGAUACACGUGGAUCUAUUUUAUGUCUUCUCGUAGUGAGGUAUUAUCUAUCUAUAAGCGUUUUGUUGUCAUGGUUACACUCAGUUCUCUAUGCCUAUUCGUGUGUUUCGUGCUGACUCUGCUGGAGAGUAUAUCUCCAAGAUGUUGCGUGGAUUUCUCGCUGAGCAGGGUACACUUUCUCAGUUCUCUUGUCGUGGUGCUCAUGCUCAGAAUUGUGUGGCUGAGCGCAAGCAUCAUCACCUUCUUGAGAUGGCUCGUGCGAUGAUGAUUGCUGCCUCUCUCCCGACUCAUUUCUAGGCUGAGGUCGUCUUCACCUCCACCUAUCUCAUGAAUCUACAACCUUGUGCUGCUCUACAGGGUGGUGUUCCUUUUGAACAUCUUUUUGAUCAUUCUCCCGAUUAUUCGAUGCUUCGCCCGUUUGGUUGUGUUUGCUAUGUUCUUCUUGCCCCUCGUGAACGCACCAAACUGACUACUCAGUCUGUUGAGUGUGUCAUCUUAGGCUACAGUGAUGAGCAUAAGGUCUAUCAUUGUUGGGAUCCUAUCGGUCGUCGGAUGGUAUCUCUCGGGAUGUGAUUUUUGAUGAGUCUCGUCCCUUCUACCCACGCCCAUCUUCCUCGACCUUUUCCUGAUACAUCUCUCACCCCAUCGAGCUUUUGCCUAUUCGUUCCGCUCCCUCUGCUUCUCCACCUCUUGUCGAUUUGCUACCACCAUCUCCCACGGUUUCCUCUCCUGGCAUGUCAUCGGAUUCUGCACCUUCAUCUCCGGUGACUUCUACGUCUUCACCCCCGAUUCUACCUUGGCGAUCCCCCCUUGCAUUGUUCCAUCUUUUCCUCAGUGUUACACUCGUCGUUCACGUCAUGUGGAUGUCUCUGCGGAUGUGUUGUCAUCCUCAUCUCAGCCUCCCUAUGCCUUGUGUUCUCGCCCUCGUUCACGUGUUGAUCGCCUUGGAUUUCCCAUCGUUGGUGCUGCUGUUCUUGAGCCGACUUCCUAUCGUGAGGCUGUUGUUCAUCCUAAAUGGUAGUUUGCGAUGCCAGAGGAGAUUGCUGCUCUUGAACGCACUUGGUACGUGGGAUCUUGUUUCCCUUCCUCCCGGAGUCCGUCCCAUCACUUGUAAGUGGAUUUACAAGGUUAAGACUCGCUCCGAUGGUUCUCUUGAGCGUCACAAAGCUCGUCUUGUGGCUCGUGGUUUUCAGCAGGAGUAUGGUCGUGAUUAUGACAAGACUUUUUCUCCUGUGGCCCAUAUGACCACUACUCGUACACUUCUUGUCGUGGCCUCUGCACGCCACUGGUCUAUAUCUCAGCUUGAUGUUAAGAAUGCCUUUCUUAAUGAUGAGAUGCGUGAGGAGGUGUACAUGCAGCCACCACCUGGGUAUUCUGUUCCUGAUGGCGUGGUAUGUCGUCUUUGUCGCUCUCUCUAUGGCCUUAAGCAAGCCCCUCGCGCCUGGUUUGAGCAUUUUGCCUCUGUGGUGACUGCCGCUGGUUUUUCAGCGAGUGCUCAUGAUCCAGCAUUGUUUAUUCACCUUUCUCCUCGUGGCCGGCCUCUUCUUCUUCUCUAUGUUGAUGACAUGAUCAUCACUGGGGAUGACCCCGAGUAUAUUGCCAUUGCAAAGGCCCGUCUUAGUGAGCAGUUUCUUAUGUCUGAUCUUGGACCUCUUCGCUACUUUCUUGGGAUUGAAGUCUCUUCUACCUCUGAUGGCUUUUUAUAUCCCAGGAAAAGUAUAUCCAGGAUCUUCUUUUCGUGUUGCUCUUACUUACGAGCGCAUUGUUGAGACUCCUAUGGAGCUCAAUGUUCACCUCCGUGCUACUGAUGGUGAUCCCCUGCCUAACCCGACGCGUUAUCGUCAUCUUGUUGGUAGUCUUGUCUAUCUAGCUGUCACUCAUCUGGAUAUCUCUUAUCCGGUUCAUAUUCUGAGUCAGUUCGUCUCCGCUCCCACAUCGAUUCACUAUAGUCAUCUCCUUCGUGUUCUCUAACAUCUUAGGGGCACGAUCUCUCACCGUCUAUUCUUUCCUUGCUCCAGUUCUUUACAGCUUCAGGCCUAUUCCGAUGCUACGUGGGCUAGUGGUCCUUCAGAUCGCCGUUCACUUUCUGCUAACUGUGUUUUUCUUGGUGGUUCUCUCAUUGCCUGGAAGACGAAGAAACAGAUUGCAGUUUCCCGUUUGAGUGCACAGGCUGAGUUGCGAGCGAUGGCUCUUUUGACGGAGAGGUGACUUGGUUACGGUGGUUACUUGAGGAUUUUGGUGUUCCUGUCACUACACCGACUCUGCUCUUAUCUGACAGUACAGGUGCUAUUAGCAUUGCGCGUGAUCCCGUGAAGCAUGAGCUCACCAAGCAUAUUGGUGUUGAUGCUUUCUAUGUGUGCGCUGGUGUGCAUGAUCACGUUAUUGCUCUUCAGUAUGUGCCUUUCGAGUUACAGUUGGCGGAUUUCCUGACGAAGGCCCAGACCAGAGCACAACAUGGCUUUUAUCUCUCCAAACUCAGUGUUGUUCAUCCACCAUGAGUUUGAGGGGGGGGGGUGUUAGAGUUAUAAUAGAAGUCAUGUACCCCUUUGUAUUUAUCCCGUUGUAUAAGGGGUUUCCUGCAUAUGUUCCAUACCUGUACAUGUAUAUAUAUCGGCCUAUGGUCUCAUGGGAAUACAAGUUGCUUAUUCCUAACAUCCUCAUCACGCUACUCGGGCUAAGUGUUUGUUCCAUUUCCUCAUGAUGACCAUGCUUUUGCAAUGUUACACUUACGCCUGAGUACUUAUUCCGCUGCAAGUCGUGACUUAGCAAUUUCAUCACAGGGAAAUUUCUUAGUGACGAAUUCAUAAAACUGCCUAUUCACACCCCCACCCCCUCUAGUCGAUAUAACGCACUUUCAAAAAGGGAUUAAGAUAGUUUGAAGACAAAUUAGAGGACGUAAUUGCAUCAUUGGGAGGGUUAACAUUGGAGCUAGUAUGGUGCCUCCAAUUAGUAAAUAAGAUAUAAGAUAUAAGAUUGUGAAUUGGUAUCCCGAGAUAACUAAACACCUUGUUCCAAACCUUUGUGAGUCUAAAAUUAGUCACUAACAUCAUCAUUUACCUUGACCCCCACGCUACCUCGUUGAAAGAAAGUUUGAACCUGUUGCCACAAGCAGGAUCAUAACCCUUCUUUUGCAAUGCAUAUUGCAGUAAAGGUCACUUAAUUGUAACAUCAUUCUUCUCGAAAUCCACUUUCAAGACACCAGAAGGGAGAAACUUCCAGCAGAAUAAGGGGUCAUGCAAUAUUUAUUUCAUUUCGACAGAGGCUCAUCCUCUAGGGUACUGAAGGUGCAACGCCAAGCCAUGUAUCCACCCAAAAACUUGUGGUAUGAUCAUUGCCUACCGACAAAGAGCUCCUGAGAACGAACUGUGAUCUUACCUGCUUGAAACCUUUCAAGAAAGGCAAGUCAGAUGGCUUUGCCACGCUUAAGACAGGUCAUAGAGGUAAUAUACAUACAAGAGCACAAAUAGAACUGGCUGGAACUUCUUUGAACAAUUACCAAGCCUCAAAUACAGGAGAAAGGGAGACCAAAACCUUUAGAGCACUGCGACUACCGCAGCUUCAGACAUCUAGGAACAGGAGGAGAAAAAAGGAAACACAUUCUCACAUUACUAAACCCCUUGUAGAAUUAAUCAGGACUAACAACUCUUUUCAUAGCUACAGGGGCAAUAUUCACUAUCAUGAGAAGGUUUCCGGCAGAGGCCUGCCUUGUAGGAAUGCCCUGAUGAGCACAAGAGAGCGUUCAGGCUGCGAGAAUGGCGCCUCAUGUGAGGCCCCUCGGAUGGUGGCGAAGGAGAGCUUGUCACCGUAUACCUGGGUCCACCCACCAACCUGCAGAGGAAGAUUGUUCAGCACUAGAAAAGAAAUGCUACUGUACAUAACUUGCUCUUCAGUUUGCACGGUAUGUCUGGGUUGUCACCUGCUUCCCUUCGAACCAAACCCGAUACGGAAUGCUGGUCUUCAGGCCUAUAUCGCGCGCUAGAUUCUGCACUAGAGUCCUGCUUCCCGUUAGAGGGAUCACCGAGUCUUGAUCGCCACUGAAUUUACAAGGAAACAAUUGUUACAUGUUACAUCAUGUAAGCCUGAGCUUCAUGCUUCCCAAAGUUGAGAGGACCGACCAAAGGAAAAGGUUCUGGUGCAAAUUUGUACCAUGAUAUAAAGCUGGUAAAGUACAAUGUUCUAAAACCUUAUGUCAAGUUCCAACUCUAUAUGCUUUUCCAUCCUUUUAUUUUAUUUUUACAGUAAUGCUACACACCUGAUUCUUGAUCUUCAUUGAUUUCUUAAUUUCAGCGCUCCACAAAGAAAGUUCCAAUAUUUCAAUAUCAUGGCUAAGGCAGUAAAAGACAGAGGUUUUCUAGUCUUUUUGUUUCCUAUCAAGAUAUUCCUGACCUUUAUGAUGCAUAUGUGAAUUUUUUUUACUCUUUUAAUCGUUUACCCCUUUAUACCUGUAAACUAGUACUCUGAUGCCGGACUUGACCAGUGAUCCCACUAUGUUGAUUGUUGGAAUCUGCAAAUUGAGGAGCUCGUACUCAAGAACACUGUAACAAAACAAAAAAAUAGGGCGAACUAUGGUCAGAUAUAACAGAUACAAAUACACAAAGUACUUGUAUGCAUUUACUUAUUAAUCUGUUUCUUUCUCGAAAGGUCCCAUUUUAUUACAAAUAUGUUACAAGGUCUCAAAGGAAAUAUUCAAAUUUGUCUGUAGGUUAAAUACCUGCUGCAAACUGCCCAUUUUUUUACACCGAUGAGCUUCGCAUGGAGCGCUUCCUGGACAUCCUUCCUGUUCAAGUAGUUUACCGUCUCAUCCUCCACACAGACGUCGAUGCGGUGCCCGACACGCUUCUGCACAACACACCCACAUUUUUUCUACAUCAGACAAGAGAUAGCUGCCUUCUCUCUCACAUUUUUUUUUUGAGAGAUAGCUACCCUAUGAUACUGAUUCUGAUCAGUUUGUGACUAUGAGCAUACAUGGGGGGAGAGGAUCAUUGACUGAGAGAGCACUGAAGACAAGCAGACGUCGAGGGUAACAUCGUACUUGUCAACGAACUGGCUAGUCUCUCGGGUUACUUGGUUCAUGACCCUCGCGCAAAGCGGGCUAAGCGAUCCACCGUAGUACUCGCUGACGUAGCGGGAGUAGUUGCAAACAGACGUAAAAAUCCUGUAUGUCGAGUCUGAAAUGAGGCCAUGAGACCAGAAGUACUCUGCCCUCGAGUUGAAGUCGGUGGUGAAAUUAAGAACAGGAUUGCCCAACUACCAACAACAAAAAUGUUUCAGUCAGAAACAAAAAAAAAAUGCAUGGACAGAGGAAUCAGUUUAUUCAGAUUGAGGUUUUCCUUACAGCAAGUCCUUUGAGGUUGAAGAUGUUGUCCUUCUUAUUGAACUCAACCAUGACCUCGGCAAGUUGUGGAAUGUAAUGCCCUGGCACAUGCAAAGAACGUAUGAAGAUUCAGAGAGUGCUAAGGGUUGUUUACUUUUUAUCAAUAUAAGACUGUAAAUGAAGGUGUACAUAUGUAUGUACCGGCAUAACUCUCUCCAGAAAUGUAUAGUUCUCUGCCCUUGUACUGUGGGAACUUUUCAAGCCACCUUUGCAUGAACACCAUAUUGUCCAUUGCUUUAUUCAUUCAGUAAAGAAAUGUCAGAGCCCACAUCAAAACUCCCACUCAAGGGCUUAAGACUUCCAGAUAAAACAGAAGUCCAACUGCUAAUAAAGUGGCAACAACUUAUUUCCUACAAAUGGUGUAUCUACAAAAAGGCAGUCAUCUACUGUAUAUACUACCCAGUAAGAAAACAGCAACACUCAGACAGAUGCAAGAAAACUUUCAACAAUAAACCUCAGUAGUCAGCACUCACUCCUACCUGUCAUGUUGUCAUUCACACCCUGGUAGUAGGCAGCAUCAGCAGAGUAGGAGAAGCCAACACCCGCUGGUGUCUCCAGGUAAAUCACAUUAGCUUCUGCAGGGCAACACAACUCCAUGAAAACAGUGAGGCAUGUGGCAACUUUAUUGGGCCAACAAAAGGCUCGUGAAUUGGAAUUAGCAUGCAGUGUUGCAGAAAAAGGUCGAUAGGCAGCACUCAUUGGCCUCACACUUACCUUUGUUCCAGCUGUACUCGUUCCUCACCAGCGCCUGCCCGCUGGGCCUGAAAGGGCCGUUCUCUGAGAAGGCCCCUACACCAAGCGAAGAACACCCAGGUCCUAAAGAAGAAAACCAUCGAAUCAAUGAUAUCUCCAGAAAUGAUCACAGGACCAGAGUUCGGAUCACAUUCUGGUUUGACAGAGCUUAACCAAGGAAGGAACUAUGAAAGUAUGAAAGGAAAAAAAUAUGUACUGCAUUACAGCACACAUUUAACUUGACUGCAAACAAGCAGGGAGCAAGAUACACCAGGAAAGCAAAAGAGUUGAGAGAAUGCCAUGACACAAGGUACAACACGAACACUGACUCACCUCCGUUGAGCCAGAGCAUAAGGGGCUUGGUGGCGGGAUCAAGCUCUGCCUCCACGAAGUAGUAGAAGAGAGCCCUGCUCCCCUUGCCAUCCACCUCGAUGUAGCCCGAGUACUGACCAAAGCCCACCUCCGGCUGCCCAGGGAGCCUUGUGAUCCUGCCUCCUGCUCCUCCAUUGCAAGAACCCAGAUGACAAAGUGAAUAAAUGAGCAGCAGCACCGCCGUGGCCAAUGGCCUGCAGCGGCACAGUACAGCCGUCAUUGUCUUCAAGGACUCAAGGUAGUGGAGAGGGACGAGCUGGCUGGAGAAAGGAGAGGGAGGAGCUGGCUGGGGCAAGAGGGGAUUGGAUGGUGAAGGAGGGAACGAGGACGAGGCAAGAGAGUCAAGCCUGCUCUAUUUGCCUCGAGGGGAGAGCGAUGAAGGAGGUGAAAAAUAAUCAAAAGACGAAUGAUUCAGUGGGAGUAGCAGGUCCGGCGAGAGAGUGGAACUGGCAGAUGCAGCAGCAAGACCUCUGUCUGCUUGGAGCACGCGCUCGCGUUAGAAUAUAUAGGGGAUAAAAGGUUAGUACACUAUAGUAGUACUUCAUUAAUUAUGCAUGUUUUCCAGUAGUAGUACUUGGCCUCCAUUGCAAUGGCCAAUGGGACACUAAGACCUAAGAUUGCGCUAUGAGAUUAGCAUCAGCAUUAGCAUUUCAGACUACUUUGUGGAAAAGAUAAGUUCCUUAGCGGGUGAUCCACGCAAAAGAAAUCAAUUGCACAUACGUGCUUACUAUAUUCGUCUAAAAGGACUGCUCCAUGUGCAUUGUCGGGACAAACAACAUGCUGACAAGACAGCGCGUGGCCAGGUAGUCACUAGGCGCACACACACUAUAAUUAUUGUGUGGGUCUCUUUUUUCAAUUAAAAAAAUGCUUACAAAAGUAUAUACCGCUACAUACUACUAGUACUAGGUACACCAGCAACAAAGCAAAUGAUAAUCCGUUUGCACACCUGAUGCUCGUCACAUCUGUGUAGACAAUACCACACAUCAAAUUGAUAAGAGUGCGGCAGCUCAAAAUUAACGUCGGGAACACAAACGGAAACCAAUAAUGCAACGGGCCACGUGACAUGAGAGAGAGGAGGAAGGAGGGGAGGGACAAGAUGGACCCAAGGGCAAAAGCCUUUCCCGCAUUACAAAAAGUAGGCUUUUUAGCCAGGGCUUCCACAGUCCCGCUCUUUUUAAACUGCUGUCUUGUGCAAAGACGAUGGACGAUGAGGAAGAGGUUCGUUCAUGUGACGAUGAUUUCUUUUAUGCUCGAAAACAUUCGCUUGCCUUUGGAUUUAUGCAUGUCUCGGUAUACGGUUAUCGGAGGAACAGGUCAGGGUGACUGGUCGCUUUACGAGGGGAUAAAAGGCCGUGUGGUUGUUAUGAUCUCCGCGUGGAGUGAAGUCUGUUUCAAACCCUGAUGAUGUAGGGCUGGACGUAAAUAAAUCCUGAUCUUUCUUAUCCCGGUUGAAAUCGCCCUCACACCGGUUUUAGGACUGGAUUUGCUGAUGUGGCGCCGCGGGUGGGUGGGAUUGCAAACUAAAGACACCAUGUGGCCUUGGUGAAAUUUGCUGUUUCUACUUUCUAUAUCAAAUGCCAGUGGGGAUCGAACCUUGGUGCGUGCGUGUGGCCUAGGCGUGAGCGCGGCGCGGCUGGGGCGGGCGAGCGCGGGCGCGGGCGCGUGCGCGGCCGNNNNNNNNNNNNNNNNNNNNNNNNNNNNNNNNNNNNNNNNNNNNNNNNNNNNNNNNNNNNNNNNNNNNNNNNNNNNNNNNNNNNNNNNNNNNNNNNNNNNCCGUUAAUUAACUAUGACCUAAUCUGUUCCUUAACACAUCGGCACGCAAACCGAUGCAAACAACACACUAACAGCCUUGAACAUGCAUGAGAGUUGGAAAUUGUUAAUCUAUGCGAAAUUGUAGUCAAGUUUCAUAUAGCACGUGUCUCGAUCCGGUGCGCGGUUAAAUUGUAAGAAUUUUACAAAAAAAGGCAUUUGAAUCUGCCCAAAAUAAAACAANNNNNNNNNNCCUCUCGGAUGAAAACUGCUGGUGCUAGCCAGUGGGCUACAGCCGUGUCGUUGACAAUGCAUAGAGUUCAUUGGGAAGAACUAGGUAACAACACAGUGCAGACGUGAAGCUAAAUAAAAGUAACCGGUGCCAUAAAAAUGUGUUGCCCAUGGGACUCGAACCAAAGACCUACUGGUUAGAUGGCUCAAUGCCAAGCCACUAAGCUAGAUGUGUGUUAGUGCUAGAUUUGCGCACAGCGCAGACAUGAAUGUGUACACACCGGAUGUCUAAAACAGAGAAACAACAAAGGACAAAAAAAUUGCAAGAACUCGGAUUUGAUCCCACGAUCUCUUGAUGGAAAUCGGUGGAGCUAGCNNNNNNNNNNNNNNNNNNNNNNNNNNNNNNNNNNNNNNNNNNNNNNNNNNNNNNNNNNNNNNNNNNNNNNNNNNNNNNNNNNNNNNNNNNNNNNNNNNNNACCUUUGGAAAUGAGAUUGCUGAGUCCCCUGUGGCUCACAGAUUACUAGAACACCAGUUGUAAGUACAGGUCAAGGUUACUUGACGCAAGCGCGUUGAUUGUUCAUUUGGAGUUUCUUCUUCUUCUUCUUCUUCAUCGAUCUAGGAUGGGUUCCAGGCCGGCAGCCUGGGAUAGCAAGGAUGGACGUCGUUCUUCUUUUGUCGUUUGUUUUCGUCCGUAGUCGAACCCUACUCUUACUCUUGAUGAAUAUGUAAUGUACUGAUGUGACUCUGAUGUAGCUUGUGGCGAGUGUAAGCCAACUCUAUAUAUAUCUCUUCUUUUUAGUACCUGUUCUUGUAACGAUAUCCAUUCUUGCGACACGACGAGAUGCGCUUCUAUCCCUGAUGAGGCCCUCGUGCCAAAUUGAGGAUAGGGUCGCANNNNNNNNNNAGUUGGUAUCAGAUCCGUACCGACCUAGGAGCCCCCUUGAUUGAUCGAACUUGGCCGAGUCGAGUCUAGUGAAAAACUACUUUGAGUCUAGUUAUAUAUCGGAGAGUAGGAUUCUUUUUUCUCCUCUUCUAUGCUGUGGUGAGGAAUGUUGACGUAAUAAUUUAUUCUACUCCUCUUCUCACUCAAAUUUUUUUUAGGAUCACGCGUAUAUUUUUGGAAUCUAUAUGAUGCCGAUGUGACGGAGUUCUGUCUUGGUGCCUCCUAUCUGCUUUGAGUUUUAGGGAAGUUGAGCUCCACGGGAUUCUUGGGCAUAUCGUUAUCAUUCAGAUUUCUUAGUAUCUCAGAACGAAGGAUGUUCGUAAUUGCUUCAAUACUAGUAGUGGAGAGAUAACCCCGAUGUCCCCAGUACUCGUGCAGAUUGUUCGGGAGUACUGCCAUACUUUGUAUCGUUGUGAUCACGAGGGUCUGUUGUAGAUGAAGGUCCGAGAUUCUGGUUGUGUGUUGACGGAUGUGAUAUAGGUGACGGGUUAGUAUUGGAUUUGUGUGUUAUUACUCCUUGUAUCCGUGUACCAGAUUGCAUGACCAGAUAUUUCGGGAAUUCAUAGGUGGGAAUUCAAGUAGUUACUUAUAGGAUAAUCUUCCAACAAAUGCAUGAUGUUAGGUUGGGGUUCGGCAUCUAGUGGAUUCUUGUCCACAAAAAUAUCGGGCGAAAUCUUUCUCAUGAGUUUGUUCUGGCUUGUUUCAUAAGCCUCACCGUUUGUUUUGUUGGAAUAUGGUAAUUCAAGUUGCUUCGAUGUCAAGCGGUGACUUUAGAUCUUUUCUAAGCAGUGUUCUCAUAUUCAUAUGAGAGUGCUAAUCCUUUUGCUCAAUCAAUUGUCUUAUCCAUUUUGUCAACCGGAGUCGUCAUGUUAAUUCUUUUCCAACCGGUGUGUUUCUCUCCAAGUGAACUCAAUCCUCUCCAAUUGUUGCUGAUCAUUNNNNNNNNNNNNNNNNNNNNNNNNNNNNNNNNNNNNNNNNNNNNNNNNNNNNNNNNNNNNNNNNNNNNNNNNNNNNNNNNNNNNNNNNNNNNNNNNNNNNACCACGACUCAAUCCUCUGGAUAGUUCACGUAGAGGCGGUCUGUCUCCUCGUCGUACUGCCACGCCAGCUGGGUGCCGUCGGGAUCAUCUGUCUCUGGGGUACCUGUACCUGCUGGGAGUUUCGGAGGAAUCCGUGAGCCACGGGGACUCAGCAAUCUAAGACCUUGGUGCCAGAACUAGUCAUGUUAUUGGGUAAGGUAGGGGAGAAGUGUAUCAGGCUGCAGCACCCUAUGCUUGAUUAAGUGGCUAACUUACGCAAAGUAGAAGGGAAGGUGGUCUACGCUAACGGUCGGAGCUACUUGAUCAGUAAGUGAUCCUGAACACCUACCUACGGCAUUCAUAACCCCACCGUGUUCCCGAUCGAAGAGGGAUCUUCGAAGGGACGGUCACGGUUACGCACACAGUUGGCAGUUUUACUUAUUUAUGUUUAAUUUCUCUAAUACCGGAUGUUAACAAAAUAUUCCAAGUUGCCACAUAACCGCGGGCACGGCUUUCCGAAAGACUAAACCCUGCAGGGGUGCUCCAACUAGUCCAUCACAAACGAACACAGGCCGCAAAGGCAUCCUCUAUCACGAAUCUCGUGAUCUCGUCGGAUUCCUUAGAGGAAAACCUCAACUCUGGGGGAAACCGAAGCUUCACUGGGAUUCCUAUACGCAAGAUAUACCGCUAAGGUAAGGCAAGGCUAGCAGGACCUCCCGACGUGUUGACGACCCUGAUAAGAGCCGCGUAUCUCAGUCUCAAGACACGCCGGAUGAGUCACACUACAGGUAUACCAAACCUCAGGUUGCCNNNNNNNNNNNNNNNNNNNNNNNNNNNNNNNNNNNNNNNNNNNNNNNNNNNNNNNNNNNNNNNNNNNNNNNNNNNNNNNNNNNNNNNNNNNNNNNNNNNNAAUUUUUAGUUGUAAAAAUAUCAUUUGGUAUUUUAGAAAUUUGGAGCAUAAAUCCCUUGUGCCCAGGAGUAUUUUUUAUUUUUUUUAAGGCCUUAGUUUUUCUUGGUAUUUUAUUUGCUGAGGUGGCGUUUUUAAAUGGGAGAGGGCCAGGUUCCCUCUUUUCUCCCUGGCAUUUGAGGCCCAUUACCUCCCUGGCCCAAGUCCCUCGCGCCAGCAGCCCGCUCGACGUCCGUCGUCUUCCUCCCUUGACGUCACGCUCGUACGAUCAAAGCUCCGCCACCGAUCUUCCUUCCCCUCGAUCUGGUGGCUCCGGGCUCGCCUCCCGAGACGUUAUAAGGAGCCAACCUCCUCCCCACAACCCUAGGGCGCCGUUCUUUCCCUCCCCUCGUCCCUCGCGCCGCCAGAACAGGAGCCCGCAGGCCGCCAUGGGACGAGCUUCGUUGAGCUCGUAACGGCAGCAGGAGACGCCGCCUCGCCCCGUCAGCAGUGCCAGGAGGACGCGGUGGCCGAAGAGGGCGCGUUCCCGCAGCCACACGUCGACGUCCUCGACUCCCUCGACGUCCUCGUCGUCCGCGUCUUCCCCGGCCGGCCACCUCCUCUGCAUCGGCUUCGCUCCCCCUCCUUCCGCUCCGCUCGUCCCCGUAGGUGAGCAAGGUGAGCUGCAGUGCCUUCCUUCGCUCCCCCUCUCGGCGUAGCAUACGUAGGAGAAGAUAGCCCGACGCCUGCCGGAGUAGACGGUAGACCGGCGUUAGCAGCAGCAGCAGCACCUCCGGUGUAGUUUCGGGAAGCCAAGCGAGCACCUUUUCACGUCGAUCUGUAGCGUGGUGGUAGUGGUAGUGCUGACAGCGCCUGUGCCUGUAGGAGGGCAUGGGUUCGAGUCCCCCCCCCCGCUCCACACUUUCUUUUUGAGUUGUUUUACUCCCGGUUUAGUGCUCUGCAGGGANNNNNNNNNNNNNNNNNNNNNNNNNNNNNNNNNNNNNNNNNNNNNNNNNNNNNNNNNNNNNNNNNNNNNNNNNNNNNNNNNNNNNNNNNNNNNNNNNNNNCCCUUAGUUUCGGCUACAGGUGUUAUGUUCCACAAUUGAGCGCUCCUAACACGCUCGGGGUUGUUAUGGGGACCCCCUUGAUAAUUCAUUUUAGAUUAAAGCUGGUCUGGCAAGGCCCAACAUUGGUACUACAUUUGCCCAACAUAAUAAUUUUGUUAAUACUGAAAUGCAUAGGGAGUUAGCGCUACCCGAGGAGUAAUUCUUCAUAAUACAGGGGGCCAGUGCUGAUGGUGCUGGUCCAAAAACAGAGCACUGUGCGGGGCUAACCCGGGGCAACUCGGGUGAUGUCUAUCAGACCACCUUACACUUCGCUUAUCUGUCGUGUCCUGAGAACAAGAUACGCGGCUCCUAUCGGGAUCGUCGACACGUCGGGCGGCCUUGCUGGAUUAGUUUUUACCUUUGACGAGAUAUCUUGUGCAUCGGGAUUCCGGUGAUGCUUUGGGUAAUCUCAGAGUUGAGGUUUUCCACUAAGGAAUCCGACGAGAUCGCGAGUGUCGUGAUCGAGGAUUUCUAUGCGGCUUGUGGUAAUUUGUGAUGGAUUAGUUGGAGCACCCGUGCAGGGUUAAAUCUUUCGGAAAGCUGUGCCCGCGGUUAUGUGGCAACAUGGAAACUUUGUUUAACACUGGUUCUAGAUAACCUGAAGAUAACUUAAUUAAAAUAUGCCAACUGUGUGCGUAACCAUGAUUGUCUCUUUCAUGAGUUCCUUCUCCGAUCGAGGACACGGUGGGGUUAUGUCUGACGUAGGUAGGUGUUCAGGAUCAUUCAUUUGAUCAUCAGUAGUUCACGUCCGCUAUGCGUAGAACUUCCCCCUCUUAUUUCUUGUACUCGUAAGUUUAGCCACCAAAUAUACGCUUAGCCGCUACUGCAACCUCACCACUUAACCAUGCCUCAAACAUUAAGCUUUGCUAGUCUUGAUACCUUUGGAAAUGAGAUUGUUGAGUCCCCUGUGGCUCACAGAUUCCUACAACACCAGUUGCUGGUACAGGUAAAGGUUACUUGACGCGAGCGCAUUGAUUGUUCAUUUGGAGUUGCUUCUUCUUNNNNNNNNNNUUCAUCGGUCUAGGAUGGGUUCCAGGCCGGCAGCCUGGGAUAGCAAGGAUGGACGUCGUUCUUCUUUUCUCGUUUGUUUUCGUCCGUAGUCGGACCCUGCUUUUAUUCAUGAUGAUUAUGUACUGUACUGCUGUGACUCUGAUGUAGCUUGUGGCGAGUGUAAGCCAAUUCUAUAUACAUAUCUCUUCUUUUCAGUACAUGUACUUGUAACGAUAUCCAUUCUUGUGAGACGACGAGAUGCGCUUCUAUCCCUGACGAGGCCUUCGUGCCAAAUUGAGGAUAGGGUCGCAUCUUGGGCGUGACAGUAUACGUAUCCGUUUGAGACUUAGAGUCAUCGGGAUGAGUGUUANNNNNNNNNNNNNNNNNNNNNNNNNNNNNNNNNNNNNNNNNNNNNNNNNNNNNNNNNNNNNNNNNNNNNNNNNNNNNNNNNNNNNNNNNNNNNNNNNNNNCACAACGUAACUGGGUGACUAUAAAGGUGCACUACGGGUACCUCUGAAAGUGUCUGUUGGGUUGGCACGAAUCGAGAUCGGGAUUUGUCACUCCGUGUGACGAAGAGGUAUCUCUGGGCCCACUCGGUAGAACAUCAUCAUGAGCUCAAUGUGACUAAGGAGUUAGUCACACGAUGACGUGCUACGGAAUGAGUAAAUAGACUUACCGGUAACGAGAUUGAACAAGGUAUAGGUAUACCGACGAUCGAAUCUCGGGCAAGUUCUAUACCGACAGACAAAGGGAAUCAUAUACGGGGUUGAUUGAAUCCUUGACAUCGUGGUUCAUCCGAUGAGAUCAUCGUGGAGCUAGUGGGAGCCACCAUGGGUAUCCAGACCCCGCUGAUGGUUAUUGGCCAGAGAGGUGUCUCGGUCAUGUCUGCCUGUCUCCCGAACCCGUAGGGUCUACACACUUAAGGUUCGAUGACGCUAGGGUUAUAGGGAAUUGUUAUACGAGAUUACAGAAAGUUUUUCGGAGUCCCGGAUGAGAUCCCGGACGUCACGAGGAGCUCCGGAAUGGUCCGGAGGUAAAGAUUGAUAUAUAGGACAGAUGGUUUCGGACACCGGAAGUGUUUCGGGCAUCACCGGUAACGUACCGGGACCACCGGGACCACCGGAGGUGGUCCCUGGGGGACCACCGAAGGGGGGCUGCGACCCCAAGAGGUAAGAUGGGCUAAGUGGGGGUGGGAACCAGCCCCUAGUUGGGCUGGUGCGCCUCCCCACUCAGCCCAUGGCGCAGGGGAAAGAAAAAGAGGGGGGGAACCCUAACUUAGGUGGGCCUUAGGCCCACCAGNNNNNNNNNNNNNNNNNNNNNNNNNNNNNNNNNNNNNNNNNNNNNNNNNNNNNNNNNNNNNNNNNNNNNNNNNNNNNNNNNNNNNNNNNNNNNNNNNNNNACCUAAUAUAGACCAACCCUAAAUUCUAGGAAUUCCCCUCCGUUUGUCCCAUCCAUCUAUCAGCCGCCACCGCCACUGUCUUUCUCGUUUUCCCGACCGAAUCAACUAGGCACCCACACCUCCGAUCCAAAUCACCCCAUGCCAAUCCCCGUCGAGCCUCCCACAGUGGCACCUCGUCCUCGAGCUCCACCUCCCGACCGGCCUCAUGCAGCCCCANNNNNNNNNNACCACUGUCUUUCUCAUUUUCCCCAUCGAAUCAACUAGGCACCCACACCUCCGAUCCAAAUCACCCCGUGCCAAUCCCCGUCGAGCCUCCCACAGUCGCACCUCGUCCUCGAGCUCCACCUCCCGACCGGCCUCAUGCAGCCCCAACACUGGUGUUCCAUGGAGCCUCUCCCCAUGCUUCCUGACCAGGCCGGCCCUCUCCCUGCUCCCUUCCUCCUCCUUCCUUCGGUGUCCUUCCCCGCUUCUCAUCUCUCCCUUCCUCUCGUUUUCUGUAGGGAGAGUGGAGACCACCAUGGCCAUGGCCUCGAGCUUGCCAUGGGCACCAAUCUUUGCAGCCGCCCGCUCGCGGGAGUUCCCCAUUGCCGGAUCCGCCUCCCCGACCCCGGAUCCGCCCGCCCUCGACUCCAUCCGUGUGGACCUCCAGGACCUUGCCGGAGGACGGCGCCGCCGGAGCUGCGCAGGUCCCGGUCGCAUCUCUCUCCCCUGUUCUGUUCCCCCGCUGCUCUCCCUCUCUCAAACACCUCUGUUCCUCAUUUAUUUUUUCUGCAGGUGACAUCCUUGGUGUUCCCAAGCUCCAUGAUUCCUCUCGUGUGCCCAAGCUCGCCCCAGCCACCUCCAGCUGCGCCGGCUCGCGACCUCUCCUGCCCAGACCGCCAUGACCUCCCGCGGAUAAGAUCUCGUCGCCUCUCCCUCCUGUAACUCGUUUUUCUUUGAUCUCUCUUUGUUUCUCUGAACAGGAGCACCCGAGCCCCAUGUCCGCCGUGGACUCAAGGUCCGGCUCGCCCGCCCGGGACCCCUCUGUUGCCGCCAGAAUCGGCCGCCCUGGCCAUCUGCGACCCANNNNNNNNNNNNNNNNNNNNNNNNNNNNNNNNNNNNNNNNNNNNNNNNNNNNNNNNNNNNNNNNNNNNNNNNNNNNNNNNNNNNNNNNNNNNNNNNNNNNAAGGUGCGGGAGACGUCACCGGGCUGCACGUGUGUUGAACGCGGAGGUGCCGUUGUUCGGCACUAGAUCGGAAUCGCUGCGAGUACGACUCCAUCAACCGCGUUCUAGCAACUCUUCCGCUUAGCGAUCUUCAAAGGUACGAAGAUGCUCUUACCCCUCUCUCGUUGCUGGUCUCUCCAUAGGAAGAUCUGAACAUGCGUAGAAUUUUUUUUGAAUUUAUGCUACGAAACCCAACAUAUAGCACUAUAGGUGGAAUAGAGUGUGGUGGAGGUUGUCAGGCAAAAAGGAGGAGAUGGUCACAUCGAUUCGGCGUAUCAAAGGGCUAUGGAGACGCCCAUUAAUAGAUAUCAAUGUGAAUGAGUAGGGAUUUCCAUACAACGGAUGCACUAGACCUAUAAGUAUGUGAAAGCUCAAAAGGAGAACUAGUGGGUGUGCAUCCAACUUGCUUGCUCACGAAGACCUAGGGCAAUUUUGAGGAAGCCCAUCAUUGGAAUAUACAAGCCAAGUAAUAUAAUAAAGAUUCCCACUAGCAUAUGGUGGUGACAAAACAAGAGGCUCUCAAUCAUGAAGAACGCGGUGCUAUUAUGAAGCACAAGUGUGGAAAGAGAUAGUAGCAUUGUCCCUUCUCUCUUUUUCUCUCUCUUUUUUGGGAUCUUUGGCCUCUUUCCAUAUCUCGCUUCUUCUUCUUUUUUGUGGGCAACUUUGGCCUCUUUUUUUCCUCACAUGGGACAAUGCUCUAAUAAUGAUGAUCAUCACACUUUUAUUUACUCAUAGCUCAAAGCUUAGAAUGACGAUGACUCUAUAGGAAAUGCCUCCGGCAGUGUACCGGGAUGUGCAACGAUCUAGCUUGGCGUAUGAUGUUGAAACAUCUCGCUAGCUAUCUUACAAUCGUGCAAUGGCAAUAUGAGAGUGACGAAACAAGUCAUGAGAUGGAACGGUGGGAGUUGCAUGGCAAUAUAUCUCGGAAUGGCUAUGAAAAUGCCAUAGUAGGUAGGUAUGGUGGUUGUUUUGAGGAAGGCAUAUGGUGGGUUUGUGCACCGGCGAAAAUUGCGAGGUACUAGAGAGGCUAGCAAAGGUAGAAGGUAAAAGUGCAUCUAUAUCAUGGACUCACAUUAGUUAUGAAGAACUCACAUACUUGUUGCGAAAGUUUUUAUUAGUAAUUGAACCAAAGUGCUAAAUGCAUACUCCUAGGGGAAGGGUUGGUAGGUGUUAACCAUCGCGCGAUCCCGACCGAAACACAAAGGAUGACAAUCAAUAGAUCAGUUAUGCUCCGACUUCCUAACAUAGCGGUUCACCAUACGUGCAUGUUACGGAAUCACUAACUUCAACACAAGUAUUUCUAGAUUCACAACACCCUACUAACAUAACUCUUAAUAUUACUGAAUCCACGUCUCAAAACUAAUUGAGAGGAAUCAAACUUCUCUUUCUACUCAAUGCACAUGAAGAUGGAGGUUUUAUUUUAACCUCUUUGGGUGCCUAUCACCUUUGGGACUACUUUCAUAGCACAAGCCAACUACCAAGUUACGCACCGCCGUUCUCUAAAAGAUCUAAGUGAAGCACAUAGAGCAAAAUUGUCUAGAUCAAAAGAUAUAAAUGAAGCACAAUGAGUAUUCUAGCAAAUUCAUGAUGAGUGGAUGUCUCUCUCAAAAGGUGUGCAGCAAGGAUGAUUGUGACACAACAAAAAGAAAAGACUCCUACGAUACAAGACACUCCAAGCAAAACACAUAUCAUGUGGUGAAUAAAAAUAUAGCUCCAAGUAAUGUUACCGAUGGAUUGAAGACGAAAGAGGGGAUGCCUUCCCGUGGCAUCCCCAAGCUUAGGCUUUUUGGUGUCCUUGAAUUUGGCUUGGGAUUCCUUGGGCAUCCCCAAGCUUGAGCUCUUUCCACUCUUUAUCCCUUUGUCCAUGAGAACAUCACCCAAAACUUGAAAACUUCACAACACAAAACUUAAAUAGAAACUCGUGAUAUCAUUAGCACAAGAAAACAAACUACCACCUCUUGAGGUAGUGUAGCAAUCCUUAUUUAUAUUUAUAUUGGUGUUAGAUUACUGUAUUCUCACUUUUCCAAGGCUAGUACCCCCCGAUACUAUCCAUAGUUUUAUCAAAACAAGCAACCAACACAACAAAAACAGAAUCUAUCAAAAACACACCAGUCUAUAGAAAUCUGUAUACUUCGUGUACUUCUGGUACCUCAAAAAUUCUGAACAAUUACGACAGCCUGGUAAGAAGGCAUAUCAACCAGCAGAAAGAAGAAUCAACUCAAAAGCUAUUUCGGGAUAAAAAUGAAAAAUAAUUUCGUGAGCGAAAAGUUUCUGUCUUUUUCCAGCAGGAUCAGACAACCAACACUAAACUAGUCAUAAAGGUUUUGCUUGGCUCAAACACAAAAAGAAACACAAAAGACACAAUCAUAACAGAAUUAUGAUGGUGUGGACGCAACAAAACAGAAAGAAAAAUAUAAAUUCAUUGGGUUGCCUCCCAACAAGCGCUAUUGUUUAACUCCCUUAGCUAGGCAUAAGGUGAUGGAAUCACGUAUCGUCGUCUUUGGUACUCAAACCAUAAGUAGCCCUCAUCAUCUUAAGGUCUUCAUCUCUCUUACUAGAUGGUUCACCACUAAUUUUAGGAACAAAAACAGACUUGUUGGCUUUAUCGUGGGCAACAAUUGGAGUGUUCUGCAUAGCGACAAAAGCGGAACCCAAGUUGGUUAUAACAUCCUCUAGUUUGCCAAUCCUAGCGGAAUCAUGACCUAGUUUUUCGUUAACUGUGGGUUCCCUCUCCUUUAGAUUUUUCGUAGUCAUUCCCACCUUGGAUCCGUACUGAGUAAUUUGAUUGUGGAUUUUUUAAUCCAAAUUCUAAAUGAGUUCAAUCAUAGCAACUUUAUUUUCAACGAUAUCCAGCCUAGGCAUCACAUGUUCCAAAGUUAAGGUGGUUCCAUUAACCAUGAGUGGGGGUGAGCCUACCAAAUUUAUCAAAGCACCGUAAGAAUCAAUGAUAUGGCUACCCAAGAAGUCUCCGCCUAUGAUGGUGUCAAGAACAUACCUAUUCCAAGGGGAAAUACCCACAUAAAAGGUGCGAAGCAGGAUGGUAGUGGAUUGCUUACUAGUAGAUCUAUUCUGAGCAUUGCAAAUCCUAUACCAAGCAUCCUUUAAAUUUUCUUUCUCAAUUUGUUUAAAAUUGAGAACUUCACUCUCGGGAGUAUCGUUCGAAGCAGUGGGUCUAGCCAUGAGGAUAGGUAGAUUAUCCCACUCAAGCAGGCAGAAAGCAAGCGAGAGAAAAGGGCGAACGAAAAAGGCAAAUAUUUUUGUAUUUUUUUCAGAAGUGGGGGAGAGGAAAACGAGAGGCAAAAAAGUAAAUGCAAGAGAUGAGUUUGCGACACUUACUUGGAUGAGCUUCACCUAGAAUAAUCCCCGGUGCCAGAAAUUGACACGCUGAUGGGAGACUAUUCUUGACUUGAUCUUCCCAGCAACGGUGCCAGAAAUCCUUCUUGCUACCUCUUGAGCUUGCGUUGGUUUUUCCCUUGAAGAGGAAAGGGUGAUGCAGCACAGUAGCAGUAAGUAUUUCCCUCAGUUUUGAGAACCAAGGUAUCAAUCCAGUAGGAGAAUCAAGCCAAGUGUCCAGUGUACCUGCGCAAACACAAACAAGAUUGCACCCAACGCUAUAAAGGGGUUUUUAAUCCCUUCAAGAUUGAUUGAAAAGUGAGAUCUGAAGGCGGAAAUUGCAACGAAGUAGAAAGUGUAAGGCUGAAAAUAUGGUGUGAAGUAGACCCGGGGGCCAUAGUGUUCACUAGAGGCUUCUCUCAUGAUAGCAAAUAAUACGGUGGGUGAACGAAUUACUGUCGAGCAAUUGAUAGAACCGCACAAAGUCAUGACGAUAUCUAAGGCAAUGAUCAUACAUAUAGGCAUCACGUCCGAGACAAGUAGACCGAUACUGUCUGCAUCUACUACUAUUAAUCCACACAUCGACCGCUAUCCAGCAUGCAUCUAGUGUAUUGAGUUCAUGACGAACAGAGUAACCUCUUAAGCAAGAUGACAUGAUGUAGAGGGAUAAACUCAAACUAAUGAUGUAAACCCCAUCUUUUUACCCUUGAUGGCAGGAACACGAUGCGUGCCUCGCUACCCCUUCUGUCACUGGGUGAGGUCACCGCACGGUAUGAACCCAAAACCAAGCACUUCUCCCAUUGCAAGAAUCAUAGAUCAAGUUGGCCAAACAAAACCCACAACUCGAAGGGAAUUACAAGGAUAUGAAAUCAUGCAUAUAAGAGAUCAGAAUAAACUCAAAUAAGAUUCACAGAUAAUCUGAUCAUAAAUCCACAAUUCAUCGGAUCUCGACAAACACACCAUAAAAGAAGAUUACAUCGGAUAGAUCUCCAUGAAGAUCAUGGAGAACUUUGUAUUGAAGAUCCAAGAGAGAGAACAAGCCAUCUAGCUACUAGCUAUGGACCCGAAGGUCUAUGGUGAAGUACUCACGCAUCAUCGGAGAGGCCAUGGUGUUGAUGAAGAAGCCCUCUGUAUCCGAAUCCCCCCUUCGGCAGGGCACUAGAACGUGCCCCAGAUGGGAUCAUGCGGAGACAAAAGCUGUCAGCGGCGGAAAAGUAUUUUCGUGGAUCUCUCUCGUAGUUUUGGAUUUUUUGGGAAUUUAUAGGCGGAAUAGGUAGGGAAGACGAGCCAUACGGGGCCCACAAGCCUGCUGGGCGCGCCCCCUUUGCCGCUCCUAGGGUGCUUGUGGCCUCCCCUGGCGGUCUCUGCCUUGGUUGUCACAUCCCUUGCGUAUCUUCUGUUCUGAAAAAACAUAUUUUCGGAAGUUUUAUUCCAUUUGGACACCGUUUAAUAUUCUCCUCUGAAAAGGGUCAAAAACACGGAAAAAAUAGGAAACCGCACUUGGCACUGAGUUAAUAAGUUAGUCCCAAAAAAGAUAUAAAAGGCAUACAAAACAUCCAAAGUUUGACAAGAUAAUAGCAUGGAACCAUCAAAAAUUAUAGAUACGUUGGAGACGUAUCAUUGGUCAUGGAUGAGACAUAUCAUGUAUUUAACUUGGGGCAAGGCACAUAGAAAACUAAUGAUCAUCUAGGCAAAUAUCAAACAUUAGGCAUGUAUCCCAAGGUAGUCGUGCGUGCUUGCAAUAAGAACUUGCACAACAUCUUUUGUCCUACCAUCCCGCUAUCAACAGGGCCAAAAGGAACUUAUGGAGAUUAAGGUGCUCCUGUCAAAGAGCACCGGAACAAAGCAUUAACAAUCAAUGGAUACAUGGAAUCCUCAAACUAUAACCUAUGCCCUUUGGUGUCCCAAGCUGUCACCAUGGGGAUCGCCGGUUCCGGACUAUAAUAGGUGCAUACCACUCAUAGAUAGGAUCAAGAACACAAAUAUAUUCAUGAAAAAAUAAAGUAUUCAGAUCUGAAAUCAUGGCACUCGAGCCCAAAGGGACAAGCAUUAAGAGUAACAAGUAGUAGCAAAGAUGAUAAACACCAUAGUAGAUGAUAGGCAACAUGCCCCCAACAAUCCGACGAACUAUUACAUGAUCUAACUCAUCCAAUCUCUCAUAUCCCCUUCACCUACAACAGGGAAUUACUCACACAUGAUGGGGGAAGCCAUGGGAGGAUGAUGGAGUGGUGAUGGUGAUGACGACGGUGACGAUUUCCCUCUGUGGAGGCCAAAACAGUCUCCAGAUUAGCUCUCCCUCAGGAAGAACCGAGGGUGGUGGCGGCUCCGCUGCGAGAACUUGCAAAACGACUUCUGUUCUAGGAUUUCUACGUCACGAGUAAAAAUAGGAGCCCAAUUAGGGAACCAUAGGGGGUGGACCCCAACCAGGCGGCCUCCCGGCGCGGCUAGGGGGCAUGCCGCACCCAUACGUUGCGUGGAGCCCUGGUGGCCCCUCUGGCCCAUCUUCUGGCCCAAGGUCCCUCCCGCUGCGUGGAUUUUCUCUAUUUUUUAUGGGAAUUUUCUGGGACGUCUAAAUAUCCAUUUUCCUGUACACAAGAAAACCAUACAGGCAGCUCUGCUGAAAACGGCAUCAGUCCGGGUUAGUUUCAUUCAAAUCAUGCAAGAAUGAGGCCAAAACAAUAGUAAAAGUGCUUGGAAAAGUCGAUACAUUUGUGACGUAUCAACUCCCCCAAGCUUAGCAUAUUGCUUGUCCUCAAUAAAUCCAGUUCAACGAACUGGACGCGACAAAGAAAACUUGACAAACUCUUUUGCUUCAUCAGAUGUAUAUAAGCAUGCUCUAUGAACAAGUUCAACAAGUAUGGAAGCAAUGCUACAAAGACAAUGCACGAAGCAAUCCCUCGGUCAUGUGAAGAAUUUCAAACAACUAAGAAUGAAUAAUAUACAACUGAAAAUCAUGACGAGAUCACAAUGUACAUGACUCAGACAUACUAGAGUGGUAUCUCGCUAGGCCCCAUGAGUGAAGCAAACCAUAAAUGCAGAUGCUCCUUUCGAGUUUUUAAAGGAGACUAGAAAUAAAUACUUCAGAAUAAGUAAUAUCACAAUCAUAUAGAAGACAAUGUAGUACUUUGGGACAAUACACAUUACACUCAGAAUGACAAUUAUACUCUCUAUAGUUGGUGCUUUUUUAUAAGAACAGGACGACUCAACAGAAAAGUAAAAUAGAUAGGCCCUUCACAGAGGGAAGCAUUGAUUUGUAGAGGUGCCAGAACUCUAGCUUUUAAAACAUAAAUGAAUCAAAAUUUUGGGUGGUAUGCUUUCAUUGUCAACUUAACAACUAAGAGAUCUCAAUAUCUUCCAUGCUAAAUACAUUAUAGGCGGUUCCCAAAUAGAAUAGUAAAGUUUUCACUCCCCCUCCACCAAUCGAUCACACUCCAUGGCGGGCCGAAUCCACGGGUACCGUCCAUACAAACAACAAUCCCGGGGGAUCUUUGUUUCAUUAAAUUUUAUUUGACUUUGAGCAUGGAAUUGGGCAUCCCAGUUACCAGCCACUUUCUCGUGAAUGAUAGUGAAUCAACACAUAUCUUGAGAAUAACCCACUUACCAUGGAAGAUAUUGAUAGCCCCUAGUCACUAUAUGAGCGAUUCGGGCAUACAAAACAAAAUAUUUUUUGAAGAUUUAGAAUACGGCACAUGCAAAUUUACUUAGGACGGCACAUAAAUACCGCAUAUAGGUAGGUAUGGUGGACUCAUAUGGCACAACUGGUUUCAAGGAUUUUGCAUGCACAAACAGUCAAUCCGCUUAGUAGAGGCAAAGGCUAGCAAAAGACGGGGAAGCGACCAACUAGAGAGCAAUAACGGUCAUGAUCAUGCAGAGCGACAAAGCAACAUUGGAUCAGGCAUGAAAGUGAUAUAACUAUUCUGAAAUAAAAAGAUCAACAAGGCUUGACAGACUUCUAGUCAUAAACAUGUGUAAGCAUGUGCCAAGUCAAUCUAAAAACUCUCUGAAGGGAAAUACCACUCCACUAUGCAAAACCAUGAACAAUGCAAUGCAUGCAAAUCAUUUCGGUAACAAAUUAUGCACUCCAUCUAUUUGAGACUAGUCACAAAGAACGCAUGAACUACUAGGAAGGCAUUGUAAACAUAGCAAUAUGUUGCUACAAGCUGGUCUCUAGAUCAUAAGUACAGGCAUAUGUACAAAAGUAGAAACAAAUAGAGUUCAUAUCGGCUUUCCUUGUUGCAUCCCUUCCGUCGAUCUUCGUCAUUAUUGCAUCGUCACUUGCACUAUGAACGUAGAAAGAUGUAAUCAAGUGCAAUUGCAACCAUGGACGUGAGCUAAACUCUGCAAAAAAGUAAACUAACUAGAGAAAAGAAAUCUUUUUGGGUUUUCCAAAGAUUAAAUGAAAGCAAAAGAAAAGAGAAAUCUUUUUGUUGUUUUUGCAAAGAAAGAACAAAUAAGAACGGGUAAAAACUUCGAAAAGAUUUUAAAAUGGAAACCACGGAUGAUACAAUGGAAGGGGAGAAGGGUACGUACUCCCCCAAGCUUAGGCUUUUGGCCUAAGUUGAGCUUGGCUACUGCGGGCUCCCGGAGCUCCCUCUGGCUCCGAAGUGGUACGGGUGGCUCCAAGAAUCAUACGAGGCCUCGGGCGCGUACACUGGUGCCCGGCUAGCCUCCCAAGAAGAAGACUCUUCUUCCUUGGGAACAACCCCCUCCAUGGGGUUGCGGAACUGCUGCUGGAUUACAAACUCGUCCAGCUCAAUCAAGGUGAAGGACCAUCUGUUCCCGCUAGUGUAAUCAAACAAAAGUGGUGCAGGUAGACGGAUCUCGCGUGUAGGAAGCUCGCCAAACCUCAUAAUAUAAACAAGGUUACCAAACUCAGAAGUCCUAGUAAAAAACUCAUGCCUCUUCAUAGCGGUAAGAUCGAAACUUAUGAAUGAAAAAGGUGUAUCAUUCGUGCGUACCGUGCGCCCGAGGUGCUCGAGGAUAAGCGUGGCAUAAAUGCCACCAAAGUGAAGCCCUUUGCUGCUGUUAGCGACGAGGCGGCGAGCAAUCAAAGCACCAAUAUUAUACGCGUCAUCUCCUAAUAGGGCAGCUGCCAAGAUAGCGAGAUACGAAGCCGAUAUGUUGCUCAUGUUGUCACGAGCUAACACCCCUCGAGCAAUAUAGUAUGCGAAAUACCUGAUGUGGGGGAACAAGAUGCUGGAGAUUUCCCCCGGUGAAUGUCUCGCGGAUCUUUGCUGCAAAGGGAAGCGAAUCGGGAUUUCAUCUCGUAGGGCUGAAUUUUCAUUUUGGUCAUCUUCCCGACAUUCCCCACACCUAUAACGUCACAAAAUUCUGCCAAAGACAUGGUAAAGACAUCCUCAUAUAACCUGAAUUCAAUCAUGGAAGUUUUAUCAUUAUAUCUAAACCAGUUGACAAAAUAAUAGGUGAGUUUUGGAUAUUGUUGCACAUGUCGUGUUAUGAGACGUGUCAAACCUGCAGGUGCACAGAGGUUAUCUAACUUAUCCUUAAUACGUGCCGCCAUAAGGAAAUCUGAACACGGCUAUGCCAUGGCACGUGUCAUGUCCAUCUCGUGGAGCAACUCCGGUGGCACGAUAUCAUCACUGUAACUUGUCCUCACAGUGGAAGAUGAAGCUUCAGCUCUAGUUAGUCUGUCAGUAGGCUCGGGUCUCUUCUUCCCAAGCCAACCUUUUGCUUUUCCAAACAAACUCAUUUAUGAAAUUUUUGAUGCAUGACAAAAACGAAGGUUUAAGCAAAUAUGAGUUGGAGCAAACUAUUCUACUCACUUCCCUGAUGCAUAAGCUUGCGUCAAAACUUCAUAAAUAAAUUCCUAAACAUGCAUGCAAGCUCAUUUUAACAACACCAAGAACUCUAAAAUAAUCACAAAUAAGACUACUAAUCAAAAUUCUAAUUGGAGGAGUGGAGGAGUCACAUACCAAGGAGCAAAUGCUCAAAUUCUCAAUGCAAAUGAUGGGUUGUAGAGAGAGAUCGAAAUUUGCCACAAAGAACAGUAAGAACUCGAGCUCCAGCAGAAAAAUCGGGAUUUCUGGAGUGAGAGAGAGAGGAGGGAGGAAGAAGUACGUGGAAAGCAGACGAGGUGGGCCGAGGCGACCUGUGGGCGCGGCUAGGGGCCAAGCCACGCCAGCUGGCCGCCUGGACCAAGGGUGGGCCCCCUGGCUGGCUCCACGUGCCCCUGCGUCUCUUUUUUAUGGAAAUUUUUGUUUUAAUUUUUCUGGAAUUUUUCUCACAACUUCACUUUGAAAAAAAUUCGAAGUACCGAAAGCUGCAAAACUUCCGGAAAGCUCGAAACAAUGGUUGAACAUAUGAUGCUUCAAAAACAUAAAACUUUGGUACAGCAAGGAGGAUGAAAGAUAAAAUAAAUGAAAACAUAACAAGCUUCUCUUUUUACUCAUAUAAAACAUAUUUGUUAGCAAGGUUGAUCAAGUCUUACUACCAAAUAGGUGUUACAUUGAGCAAAAAGUUUCACUUCUUCUAAAGCAAUCAUGGUACCUUUAUUUUAAUGGAUAUUGCCCCCACCAUAAUGGUUUUGUAUUUGUGGUGCACAUGUAGAGGACAAUCCCACUCUCCAACCUUCACGGUCUCAAUAUUCUCAAUAGAAAUAAGGCCAUGCCUUUUAUCAAUCUUCUUCGAAAAAUAUACCGUGUGCUCGUUCUCAUUAACAUUGAAAGUCACCUUUCCUUUAUUGCAAUAGGUAAUAGCACCUGCGGUGAUAAUAAAAGGUCUACCAAGAAUAAUAGACAUGCUUCCAUCCUCGGGGAUGUCGAGCACAACAAAAUCAGUAAGGAUCAAGCAAUUAGCAACUUCAACAGGAACAUCCUCACAAAUACCAACAUGAACGGUUGUUGACUUAUCAGCCAUUUGAAGAAAGAUAUCUGUAGGGAUUAGUUUAUCUAGACAUAGCCUUUUGUAAAGAGAGAAAGGAAUAACACUCACUCCUGCACUAAGAUCACAUAAAGCAGCUCUGAUACCACUGUUGGGGAACGUUGCAUGGGAAACACAAGUUUUCCUACGCACACGAAGACCUAUCAUGGUGAUGAUCAUCUACAGAGGGAGAUCAGAUCCACAUACCCUUGUAGAUCACUAAGAGGAAGCAUUAAUAAACAUGGUUGAUGUAGUGGUACGUUUUCCCGAUCCGUCCCACGAUCCGUCCCACGAUCCGUCCCGAUCAAGUGCUGAACGGGCGGCACCUCCGCGUUCCGCACACGUACAGCUCGAUGACGAUCUCCGCCUUCUUGAUCCAACAAGAGAUACGGGGAUGUAGAUGAGUUCCCUGACAGUGUGACGGUGCUCUAGUGGUGGUGGUGAUCUAUUCCUGCAGGACUCCGUCCGAGCUCCGCAGAAAUCCGAUCUAGAGGAAGAACUAUGAAGUAGAGGUUUAGGGUUGCACGUGGCAAAGUUGUGUCUCAAAAACCCUACCCUCUAGUAUAUUUAGGAGGAGGGAGGGGCUAGCAUUGAGGCUCAAGGAGAGCCUCUUGGCUUCAGCCGAAGUGGAGGAGGGAGGAGUCCACCUCCAAUCCCACUUGGAUUAGGACUCCUUCCUAAAUUGCCAACCUCCUUUGGAUUUUCCACAUUUUUACUCAUGGGCUUUCCUUGGAUGACUUGCCAGCCCAUUAAGCCUUAUUGCACAUCCAAUAAACUCAUGUGGACCCCUUGGGGUGUGGUGGGCCCACUAGGUGGGCCCCCGGAACCCAUUCGUCACUCCUGGUACACUGUCGGCAAUGACCGAAAAUCUUCCGGAAUCCAAAUACCAACUUCCUAUAUAUCAAUCUUUAUUUCGGGACCAUUCCGGAACUCCUCGUGCCGUCUGGGAUCUCAUCCGGGACUCCGAACAAAACUUCGGUCACCAACACAUAUAACUCAACUAUACUGAAACGUCACCGAACCUUAAGUGUGCAGACCCUGCGGGUUCGAGAGCUAUGCAGACAUGACCUGAGACACUCUACGGUUAAUAACCAAUAGCGGGACCUGGAUGUCCAUAUUGGCUCCCACAUAUUCUAUGAAGAUCUCUAUCGGUUGAACCUCUAUGUCAAGGAUUCAGUUAAGCUCGUAUGUUGUUCCCUUUGUCCUUCAGUAUGUUACUUGCCCGAGAUUUGAUCGUCGGUAUCUCCAUACCUAGUUCAAUCUCGUUACCGACAAGUCUCUUUACUCGUUCCAUAAUACAAGAUCCCGUAACUAACUCCUUAGUCACAUUGCUUGCAAGGCUUGUUCUGAUGUUGUAUUACCGAGUGGGCCCCGAGAUACCUCUCCGUCACACGGAGUGACAAAUCCCANNNNNNNNNNAUUGAUCCAUGCCAACCCAACAUACACCUUUGGAGAUACCUGUAGAGAACCUUUAUAGUCACCGAGUUAUGUUGCGAUGUUUGAUAACCCACAAGGUAUUCCUACGGUGUCCGGGAGUUGCAUGAUCUCAUGGUCAUAGGAACAGAUACAAUCACAUGCAGAAAACAGUAGCAAUAAACUACCACGAUCAUAUGCUACGUUUAUAGUUAUGGGUCUUGUCCAUCACAUCAUUCUCCCAAUGAUGUGAUCCCGUUAUCAAGUGACAUACCUUGUCUAUGGUCAGGAAACCUUGACCAUCUUUGAUCAACGAGCUAGUCAACUAGAGGCUCACUAGGGACAACAUGUUGUCUAUGUAUGCACACAUGUAUUUGAGUUUCCAAUCAAUACAAUUCUAGCAUGGAUAAUAAACGAUUAUCAUGAAUAAAGAAAUAUAAAAAUAAUCAAUUUAUUAUUGCCUAUAGGGCAUAUUUCCAACAGUCUCCCACUUGCACUAGAGUCGAUAAUCUAGUUCACAUCACUAUCUGAUUGCAAUGAACCUAACACCCAUGGGGUUUGAUCUUAUCUUGCUUGUGAGAGAUGUUUUAGUCAAUGGGUCUGAACAUUUCAGAUCCCUGUGUGCUUUACAAAUCUCUAUGUCAUCCUAUAGAUGCUGCUACCAUGCAGCAUUUGGAACUAUUCCAAAUGACUGCUCCACUAUAUGAAUCCGGUUUACUACUCUUAGUUAUUCCGAUUACUGUCAAAGCUUGCAUCGAUGUAACCCUUUAUGACGAACUCUUUAAUCACCUCCAUAACCAAGAAAAAUUCCUUAGUCCACUAGUUACUAAGGAUAACUUUGACCAUUGUUCAGUGAUUCUCUCAUGGAUCACUCUUUGUACCCCUUGAUAGGCUCACGGCAAGGCACACAUCAGGUGCGGUACAUAGCAUGACAUACUUUAGAGCCUACGACUAAGGCAUAGGGGACGACCUUCGUCCUAUCUCUUUCUUCUGCCAUGGUCAGGCUUUGAGUCUUACUCAAAUUCACACUUUACAACACAGCGAAGAACUCCUUCUUUGCUGAUCUAUUUUGAACUCCUUCAAAAACUUGUCAAGGCAUGCAUUUCAUUGAAAGUUCUAUUGAGCGUUUUGAUCUAUCUCUAUAGAUCUUGAUGCUCAAUGUUCAAGUAGCUCUUUCCAGGUUUUCCUUUGAAAAACUCCUUUCAAACAACCCUUUAUGCUUUCCAGAAAUUCUACAUUACUUCCGAUCAACAAUAUGUCAACAACAUAUACUUACCAGAAAUUCGAUAGUGCUCCCACUCACUUCUUUGGAAAUACAAGUUUCUCAAAAACCUUGUAUAGACCCAAAAACUUUGAUCAUCUCAUCAAAGCGUAUAUUCCAACUCCGAGAUGCUUGCUACAGUUCACAUAAGGAUUGCUGGAGCUUGCUAACUUGUUAGCAUCUUUAGGAUUGACAAAACCUUCUGGUUGUAUCACGUACAACCUUUCAUCAAGGAAACCUUCGAGGUGUGUAGUAACUUGAUCCGAAGUUCUAAUGAUCACCAUCAUCAGCUUCUACUUCAAUUGGUGUAGGCGCCACAGGAACAUCUUCCUACGCGCUGCUACACACUGGUUGAAGUGACGGUUCACUAACCACAUCAAGUUCCACCACCUUCCCACUCAAUUCUUUCGAGAGAAACCUUUCCCCAAGAAAGGAACCGUUUCUAGAAACAAACACUUUGCUUCCGGAUCUGAGAUAGGAGAUGUACCCAACUGUUUUGGGUAUCCUAUGAAGAUGCAUUUAUCCGCUUUGGGUUCGAGCUUAUCAGACUGAAACUUUUUCACAUAAGCGUCGUAGCCCCAAACUUUUCAAGAAACGACAGCUUAGGUUUCUCCAAACCAUAUUUCAUAUGGUGUCAUCUCAACAGGAUUACGUGGUGCCCUAUUUAAAGUGAAUGUGUAUCUCUAAUGCCUAACCCAAAUCGAUAGUGGUAUUUUGAUAAGUGACAUCAUAGUAUGCGCUAUAUCCAAUAAGGCACGGCUAUGAUGUUCGAACACACCAUCACACCAUGGUGCUCCAGGUGGCAUGAGUUGUGAAACAAUUUCCACAUUGUCUUAACUGUGUACCAAACUCGCAACUUAGAUAUUCAUCUCUAUGAUCAUAUCGUAGACAUUUUAUCCUCUUGUCACGACGAUCUUCACUCUGAAAUAGCUUGAACUUUUCAAUAUUUCAGACUUGUGAUUCCUCAAGCAAAUACUACUAUAUCUAGUCAAAUCGUCAAUGAAGUGAGAACAUAACGAUAUCCACUGCGUGCCUCAGCACUCAUUGGACUGCAUAUAUCAAAAUGUAUUAUUUACAACAAGUUACUUUCUUGUUCCAUCUCACUGGAAAAAUGAGGCCUUCAGUCAUCUUGCCCAUGUGGUAUGAUUUACAUGCCUCAAGUGAUUCAAAAUCAAGUGAGUCCAAACGAUCCAUCUGCAUGGAGUUUCUUCAUGCGUUUAUACCAAUAGGCAUGGUUUGCAUGUCUCAAACGUUUCAAAAAUGAGUGAGUACCAAGAUCCAUCCGCAUGGAGCUUAUUCAUGCAUUUUAUACGAACAUGAUUCAAGCCACAGUGCCACAAGUAAGUGGUACUAUCAUUACUACUUUGUAUCUUUUGGCUUCAAUAUUAUGAACAUGUGUAUCACUAUGAUCGAGAUUCAAUAAACCAUUGAAGGUAUUUAUUCAAGCAAAUAGAAUAACCAUUAUUCUCUUUAAAUGAAUAAUCGUAUUGCAAUACACACGAUCUAAUCAUGUUCAUGCUCAGCGCAAACACCAAAUAACAAUUAUUUAGGUUUAACACUAAUCCCGAUCGUAGAGGGGGUGUGUGAUGUUUGAUCACAUCAACCUUUGAAACAUUUCCAACACAUAUCGUCACCUCGUCUUUAGCUAGUCUCCGUUUAUUCCGUAGCUUUUAUUUUGAGCUACUAACACUUAGCAACCGAACCGGUAUAUAGUACCCUCAUGCUACUAGGAGUACUAGUAAAGUACACAUCAAUCUCACGUAUAUCUAAUAUACUUUUGUCGACUUUGCUAGCCUUCUCAUCUACCAAGUAUCUAGGGUAGUUCCGCCUCAGUGAUCGUUCCCCUCAUAACAGAAGCACUUAGUCUCGGGUUUGGGUUCAACCUUGGGUUUCUUCACUAGAGCAGCAACUGGUUUGUCGUUUCAUGAAGUAUCCCUUCUUGCGCUUUUCUUCUUGAAACUAGUGGUUUUACUAACCAUCAACAAUUGAUGGUCCUACUUGAUUUCUACUUUCGCAGUGUCAAACAUUGCAAAUAGCUCAAGGAUCAUCAUAUCUAUCCUUGAUAUGUUAUAGUUUAUCAUGAAGCUCUAGUAGUUUGGUGGCAGUGACUUUGGAAAACCAUCACUAUCUCAUUUGGAAGAUCAACUCCUACUCGAUUCAAGAGAUUGUAGCACUCAGACAAUGUGAGCACAUGCUCAACAAUUGAGAUUUUCUCCCUUACUUUGUAGACAAAGAAUCUUGUCAGAGGUCUCAUACCUCUUAACAAGGGCAUGAGCAUGAAAUCCCAAUUUCAUCUCUUGGAACAUCUCAUAUGUCCUGUGACGUUCAUAAUGUCUUCGAUGCUUUACUUCUAAGCCGUUUAAGCAUUACACACUGAACUAUCACGUAGUCAUCAAAAACAUAAAUGUCAGAUGUUCGCAACAUCCACACACGACGCUUGAGGUUCAGCACACCGAGCGGUGCAUUGAGGACAUAAGCCUUCUGUGCAUCAAUGAGGACAAUCCUCAGUUUACGGACCCAGUCCGCAUAAUUGCUACUAUCAUCUUUCAACUAAAUUUUCUCUAGGAACAUAUAAAAAUUAGUAGAGCUACAGCGCAAGCUACAACAUUAUUUGCAAAGACCUUUUAACUAUGUUCAUGAUAAUUGAGUUUAGCUAAUCAUAUUACUAAUAACUCCCACUCAAAAUAGACAUCUUUGUAGUCAUUCGAGUGGCGCGUGAUCCAAAUCCACUAACUCAAGUCCGAUCAUCACUUGAGUUGAGUAUAGUUUCACUGGUGAACAUCUCCAUGUUGAUCAUAUCAACUAUAUGAUUCAUGCUCGACCUUUCGGUCUCUUGUGUUCCGAGGCCAUGUCUGUACAUGCUAGGCUCGUCAAGUUUAACCCGAGUGUUCCGCGUGUGCAACUGUUUUGCACCCAUUGUAUGUGAACGUUGAGUCUAUCACACCCGAUCAUCACGUGGUGUCUCGAAAUGACAAACUGUCGCAACGUUGCACAGUUGGGGAGAACACAAUUUUAUAUUGAAAUUUUAGUGAGGGAUCACCUUAUAAUGCUACCGUCAUUCUAAGCAAAAUAAGGUGCACAAAAGGAAUAACAUCUCAUGCAAAUCAUAAGUGGCAUGAUAUGGCCAUGAUCUUGUGCUUCUUGAUCUCCAUCACCAAAGCACCGACAUGAUCUUCAUUGUCACCAGCGCCACACCAUGAUCUCCAUCAUUGUGCCACCAUCGAGGUUGUCAUGCUAUCUAUGUUAUUACUACUAAAGCUACCACCUAGCAAUAUAGUAAACACAUCUGCAGGCACAAAUGUUAGUUUAAAGACAACCCUAUGGCUCCUACCGGUUGCCUUAGCAUCGAUGUGCAAGUCGAUAUUUAACUAUUACAACAUGAUCAUAUCAUACAUCCAAUAUAUCACAUCACAUGCAUACCUUGCAAAAACAAGUUAGACGUCCUCUAAUUUGUUGUUGCGUGUUUUACGUGGCUGUUAUGGGUAUCUAGUAUGAUCGCAUCUUACUUACGCAAAGCCACAAUGGUGAUAUGAAAAUAGCUAUUUAACCUUCUCCAAGGACCGCCUCGGUCCAAUCCGAUUCAACUAAAGUUGAAGAAACACACACCCGCCAGUCAAAUCCACUAUCGGGGAAUGUUGCAUGCGAAACAAAAAUUUGCCUACGCACACGCAAUACCUAUCCAUGGUGAUGAUCAUCUAUGAGAGGGGAGAGUGAAUCUACAUACCCUUGUAGAUCAGUAAGCGGAAGCGUAUAUAACGCGGUUGAUGUAGUGGAACAUCUUCGCGAUCCAAAUCGCAGCCCGUCCCGCGAUCUCAUCAUGAUCCGUCCAAAUCGCAGCUCAUGAUGUCACUACAUCAACCUCGCAAGCAUAGUAGGUAUUGCCUCAUUUGGAACUUUUAUUUUAUUAGUAAUAAUAUCUUUCAUAUACCUUGAUUACGGAGGCAACUUAAUAGCAUCGGUCAAAGUAAUUGGAAGAAAAAGAGGUUUCAUCCAUUCACAAAAUUUAUUGUAAUGCUCUUCUUCUUUCGUUUUGAAAGACUUACCUGGGAUGGGCAUUGAUUUAUGUACCCAUGGUUCUCUUUCCUUCCCAUGUUUUCUUGCAACAAAGUCUUCCCUAGUAUACCUCUUGCGCUUGUCGGGUGCUUCUUCUUCUCGUACCUCAGGAGGAUCAUUCUUCUCAUUAUGUUUAUUAGGUUCAGCACUAUCUUCAGUUUCAGCAUCAGAAAUAGAUAUACUAUUAGGAUGAACAAUAGGUUCUUCAUCAAUUAAGGGAUCAUUGGAGUUGUCAGCUUCCUUGUGUUUCUUCUUUUUCUUCGGGGAGCUAAGAACGUCUUCUUCCUGCAAUUGAGAAUCUUGCUCAAUCCGCUUUGGAUGCCCCUUCGGAUAGAGAUGGUCCUGGGUGUGUGUACUACCUCGGUUCUUUAUACCAUAUGCCUACAUAUCAACUUGUUUGGCAUUGUUAGCAAGCAAAUCUUUUUGCACAUUAGAAAUUUGUCCAAGCUGAGUUUGAACCAUAUGAAAAUGCUUAACAAGACCUUUAACAUCAUUAAUAGUUCUACUUAAAACAUUAAGCAAACUUUUGAUAGCAAGGGAAUUAUCAUGCAAUUGGCUUUGAAUCCUCUCAUUAAAAUGAUUUUGCUUGACAAUGAAAUUAUCAAGCUCAUCUAAACAUUGAUCAGGAGGCUUACCAUGAGGAACGUCACUUGUAUUGAAUUCUAAAAGAGAGUGUACCUCUACCUUAGGUGGGUGAGUGGUAGGCUCGCAUAACUUCUCAAUAGGAGGUAGAUUCUUCACAUCUUCAGCUUUAAUACCUUUCUCUUUAAUAGACUUCUUUGCUUCUUGCAUAGCUUCGGGGCUUAGGAAAAGCACACCCCUCUUCUUUGGUGGUGGAGGUGGUUCACGCACGCACCAAUAGGACCAAUCAUCAUGAUUCUUAGCUAUCUUACCCAUUAGUUCCUCAACAUCGUCCGGUGUUCUAUCCCUGAAAACACAACCAGCACAACUAUCUAGAUAGGUUCUAGAUUCAUCGGUUAGACCAGCAUAAAAUAUAUCAAGCAAUUCAUUCUUAGCGACUCCAUGUCCCGGUCUAGCCUUGAGUAAAGUGCAAUACCUCCCCCAAGCUUUAGGGAGGUGCUCAUCCUGCAACUGUUUAAAGUUAUAUAUUCUUUGUAAAGCAGCAUGUUGCCUAUGAGCAAGAAAAUAUUUAGCAACAAAAUAUUCAGCUAAAUCUUGAGGAUUCUUAAUGGAACCACAUGGUAGUGCAUCAUAUCAUGCUUUAGCAUCUUCCUUCAAAGAGAAAGGAAGUAGCUUAGUAACAUAAUAAUUUCUCUUCUUGUCCUCUGUAGUGAAUAAACCACCCAACUCUGUGAGUUUCGUAAGGUGUGCAAUAGCAUCAUCAUCUUCUCUGCCAUAAAAGGGGUCAGCUUCAACUAUGGAUAUAAGUGAAAGACCAACAGAGAAAUCAAAAUCAGCAUCCUCAAUGCAAAUAGGAGAUGAAGAAAUUUAGGAUCAGAAGUAAAUUUGUUCUUCAUAGAAUGAUUUUCAAGCAGCUUCUUAACAGAAGCAGGGUCAGAGUUAGCACACUCUAUAAGGUCCCUACAUAAAUCCUCAUGAAGUUCAAUAUAAUCAUCAUCAAGAAUUCUUUCCUUGAGACCACUCAAGUCUGGGUAACCAAAACUUCUACCAAUGGGGUAGCGUGUAACAUGAAGUUCAAUUCUAGACUGCUUAGCAGCCUUAGAAAUCUGAGACUCAAUAAAAUAACCAAGUAUACCAGUCUCAUCAUUAGUAGUUGAAGCAUCAUCAAAAGUAUCAGGCAUAGUGACAGACUCGGUAGAAGAAGCAUGUGGUGGUGGUGAAGCAAACUUACUCAUAACGGAAGGUGAAUCAAGCGUAGCACUAGUGCUAAGAACAGUACCUUUUCUCGUAGUGGAUGGUAAAAUUGGAACCUUGGGGUCUCCUUUCUUACCCAUAGUGAAUAAAUCGCAGCAAGCAAAAUAACUCCAAGUAGACUUGUAAAUAAAGCUAUGCUCCCCGGCAACGGCGCCAGAAAAUAGUCUUGAUGACCCACAAGUGUAGGGGAUCGCAACAGUCCUCGCAGGUAAGUUAACCGAAUUUAUUGAUUCGACACAAGGGGGCCAAAGAAUAUUUAUAAGCUUUAACAGUUGAGUUGUCAAUUCAACUGCACCUGAAAGAUACUUGCUUGGCAAUGAAAUAUUAGUAGCAACGGUGAUAUGAAAGUGAUGGUGCCAACGGAGAUAAUGGUGGAAAAGCAACGAAAGUAAAGCAGCGAAAGUAAAGUAACUUGUAACUAGCAGGAUUAAAACACUGUAGGCUAAGGAGAUGGUUGGUUGGUCAUGGAUGAGAGAUAUCAUGUAUUUAACUUGGGGCAAGGCACAUAGAAAACUAAUGAUCAUCUAGGCAAAUAUCAAACAUUAGGCAUGUAUCCCAAGGUAGUCGUGCGUGCUUGCAAUAAGAACUUGCACCACAUCUUUUGUCCUACCAUCCCGCUAACAACGGGGCCAAAAGGAACUUAUGGAGAUUAUGGUGUUCCUAUCAAAGAGCACCGGAACAAAGCAUUAACAAUCAAUGGAUACAUGGAAUCCUCAAACUAUAGUCUAUCCCCUUUGGUGUCCCAAGCUGUCACCAUUGGGAUCGCCGGUUCCGGACUAUAAUAGGUGCAUACUACUCAUAGAUAGGAUCAAGAACACAAAUAUAUUCAUAAAACAUAAAGUAUUCAGAUCUGAAAUCAUGGCACUCGGGCCCAAAGUGACAAGCAUGAAGAGUAACAAGUAAUAGCAAAGAUAAUAAACACCAUAGUAGAUGAUAGGCAACAUGCCCCCAACAAUCUGACGAACAAUUACAUGAUCUAACCCAUCCAAUCUCUCCCAUCCCCUUCACCUACAACAGGGAAUUACUCACACAUGAUGGGGUAAGCCAUGGGGGUAUGAUGGGGUGGUGAUGUUGAUGACGAUGGCCACGAUUUCCCGUCUCCGGAGGCCAAAACAGCCUCCAGAUUAGCUCGCCCAACGAAGAACCCAGGGUGGCGGCAGCUUCGUGUCGAGAACUUGCAAAACGACUUCUGUUAUGGGAUUUCUGCAUCACGGGUAAAAAAAAGGAGCCAAAGUAGACCACCAGAGGGGGUGGACCCCACCCAGGCGGCCUCCCGGCGUGGCCAGGGGGCAGGUCGCGCCCACAGGUCGCCUGGAGCCCUGAUGGCCCCCUCUGGCCCAUCUUCUAGCCCAAGGUUCCUCCCGGUGCGUGGAUUUUCUCUAUUUUUAUGGGAAUUUUUCGGGAUGUCUAAAUAUCCAUUUUCAUGUACAUAAGAAAACCAUAUAGACAGCUCUGUUGAAAAUAGCGGCACUCCGGGUUAGUUUCAUUCAAAUCAUGCAAGAAUGAGGCCAAAACAAUAGCAAAAGUGUUUGGAAAAGUCGAUACGUUUGAGACGCAUCAACUGCUGGGCCGGCGGGACCCCAUUUUUAGCUCGUUUCCUAGCCCUAUUUUCUAUCAAGGUCGAGCCGCGAAUCUCGAUGGAGGAGGCCCUAAUUGAUCUCGGGCACCUCGGUUUUAGACGGCCUUUCGGGCCUGUGGAUACGAUCAUCUGACAUGACCUCUUGGAGUCCAUCAUCCUUCAUGAACUGGGCAUGGAUUGUUGUUGGGUAACAUAGCAUAAAUUCAAAAAAAUUCCUACACAUAUUCAGAUCUCCCUAUGGAGAGACCAGCAACGAGAGAGGGGUGAGUGCAUCUUCAUACCUUUGAAGAUCGCUAAGCGGAAGCGUUGCUAGAACGUGGUUGAUGGAGUCGUACUCGCGGUGAUUCAGAUCGCGGUGUGAUUCCGAUCUAGUGCCGAACCACGGCACCUCCGCGUUCAACACACGUGUAGCCCGGUGACGUAUCCUGCACCUUGAUCCAGCAAGGAGAAGGGAGAGGUUGGGGAAGAUCUCCGGCAGCACGACGGCGUGGUGUCGAUGGAGAGACGAGGUCUCUUGGCAGGGCUUCGCCAAGCACCGUGGGAGAGGAGGAAGAAGGGGGGCAGGGCUGCGCCGAGGGGAGGGAAAACUGUGUGUAAAACAGCCCCAAAACCCCCACUAUAUAUAGGAGGAGGGGAGGAGGGGUGCCACCCCUAGGGUUCCCACCCUAGGUGGUGCGGCAGCCCCCCACAUGGGAGGUGCGGCGACCAGGGCAGGGGGAGGGGUUGGCGCACCCCUAGGUGGGCCUUAGUCCCACCAGCGCCUAGGGUUUCCCCCGCCCUCUCCACCUCCUGAGCCUUGGGCCUCCUUGUGGGAGGCGCACCAGCCCACUUUGGGCUGGUUGCCCUCCCUCUUUUGGCCCAUGCUACCUCUUGGGGCUGGUGGCCCCUCCCGGUGGACCCCCGGGACCAUUAUCGGUGGUCCCGGUACAUUACCGAUGAUGCCCGAAACAUUUCAGGUGUUCAAAACCAUCCAUCCUAUAUAUCAAUCUUUACCUCUGGACCAUUCCGGAGCUCCUCGUGACGUUCGGGAUCUCAUCCGGGACUCCAAACAAAUUUCGGUAACCUCGUAUAACAAUUCCCUAUACCCUAGCGUCAUCGAACCUUAAGUGUGUAGAUCCUACGGGUUCGGUAGACACGCUGACAUGACUGAGACACCUCUCCGGCCAAUAACCAUCAGCGGGGUCCGGAUACCCAUGGUGGCUCCCACUUGCUCCACGAUGAUCUCAUCGGAUGAACCACGAUAUCAAGGAUUCAAUCAAUCCCGUAUACAAUUCCCUUUGUCUGUCGGUAUAGAACUUGCCCGAGAUUCGAUCAUCGCUAUACCUAUACCUUGUUCAAUCUCGUUACCGGUAAGUCUCUUUACUCGUUCCGUAGCACGUCAUUGUGUGACUAACUUCUUAGUCACAUUGAGCUCAUGAUGAUGUUCUACCGAGUGGGCCCAGAGAUACCUCUCUGUCACGCGGAGUGACAACCCAACAAACACUUUCAGAGGUACCCAUAGUGCACCUUUAUAGUCACCCAGUUACGUUGUGACAUUUGAUACACCCAAAGCACUCCUACGGUAUCCGGGAGUUGCACAAUCUCACGGUCGAAGGAAAAGACACUUGACAUUNNNNNNNNNNNNNNNNNNNNNNNNNNNNNNNNNNNNNNNNNNNNNNNNNNNNNNNNNNNNNNNNNNNNNNNNNNNNNNNNNNNNNNNNNNNNNNNNNNNNUAUCCUAGAUCGGUGAAGAAGAAGAAGAAGCAACUCCAAAUGAACAAUCAAUGCGCUCGCGUCAAGUAAACUUUACAUGUACCUCCAACUGGUGUUGUAGUAAUCUGUGAGCCACAGGGGACUCAGCAAUCUCAUUUCCAAAGGUAUCAAGACUAGCAAAGCUUAAUGGGUAAGACAUGGUUAAGUGGUGAGGUUGCAGCAGCGACUAAGCAUAUAUGAGGUGGCUAACUUACGAUUACAAGAAAUAAGAGGGGGAAGAUCUAUGCAUAACGGACGUGAACUACUAAUGAUCAAAUGAAUGAUCCUGAACACCUACCUACGUCAGACAUAACCCCACUGUGUCCUCGAUCGGAGAAGGAACUCACGAAAGAGACAGUCACGGUUACACACACAGUUGGCAUGUUUUAAUUAAGUUAACUUCAAGUUAUCUCGAACCAGUGUUAAACAAAGCUUCCACGUUGCCACAUAACCGCGGGCACGGCUUCCCGAAAGAUUUAACCCUGCAGGGGUGCUCCAACUAGUCCAUCACAAAUUACCACAAGCCACAUAGAAAUCNNNNNNNNNNGUCGGAUUCCUUAGUGGAAAGCCUCAACUCUGAGAUUACCCAAAGCAUCAACGGAAUCCCGAUGCACAAGAUAUCUCGUCAAAGGUAAAACUAAUCCAGCAAGGCCGCCCGGCGUGUCGACGAUCCCGAUAGGAGCCGCGUAUCUCGUUCUCAGGACACGACGGAUAAGCACAGCGUACGGUGGCCUGAUAGAAAUCUCCCGAGUUGCCCCGACUUGGCCCCGCAAACGGCUCUAGUUUUGGACCAGCACCAACAGCACUGGCCCCCCUGUAUUAUGUGAAAUUACUCCUCGGGUUCAUGACGCCCUAUGCUUUUAGUAUUAAAAAGUUAUUAUGUUGGGCAAAUGUAAUACCAAUGUUGGGCCUUGCCAGACCAGCUUUAAUCUAAAACGAAUUAUCAAGGGGGUCCCCAUAACAACCCCGAUCGUGUCAGGAGUGCUCAAUUAUGGAACAUAAUACCGGUAGCCGAAACUAAGGGGGCAAAGGUGGAACAAAACACCAAGCUAGAAAGGCCGAGCCUUCCACCUUUUACCAAGUAUAUAGGU